UUUUCUUCUCCUCGCAAGCCUCAGCCAUCGGCUUGGAAAGCAACUUACGCUUGGCCGCAAGGGCCCGAGAUGACAUUCCCUGAGUUGAGGGAGGGGGCGGAAUUUGGUGAAGAUGACCAGGUGGACUCAUCCUGAGUUUGUGAUUAGCUUCUUGGAAUCGUUCAAGAGUGAAAGAAUUCCAAAGGGUUUCCCCUUCAAGAAUUAUUUUGAAGAAUUCGAUGAACUCUUCAGAUGGGAGAGUGGAAGCGAUGAAAGCUGCGAAAUGAAACAACGGUGUUAGUCAAUAAAGAUAAAGAAACAACCGGGAAAGAUACAGGCGACCUAAUCACUACCGGGUUUCGCAGACCACUUCGACGGGAGAAAAUCUGCAAGAUUUCCAAUCGAAGCGGGAGUUUUCUUAAUCAGAAACCAAGGAUGAUGCCAAUUUUCAUCCUUGUUCGGAAGAUGUGAAACGAUGUUCCUGUUGGCAUUAGGAUAUGCUGAGAAAUACCCCGUUUUCUUCGAUGAACUUCUCACGCUUAGAAGCUCAUUUAGUUCAGAAACUCCGACAACGUAACCGGCCUCCGCCGCGAUUGUCGUAAUUCCAAGAAUAGUACGGAGUAGAUUGGGGGUUAGUUGAGGAAGAGCGAUUUCAAGAGCCGCUAGGUAUAGAACUAGGGCUUCGGGAAGAGGAAAGGUCAGCCCGCAACCCUUGAAAUAAAUCUCGUAUACACAGAAGUAACCAUCGCGAUGGUUCUCUGGAGAUUCUGUGGGGGAAGCUAUUUGUGCUUCCGCCAUAAUUUCCGGCGGAAUCCGGCAAAGCUCUCUCAACCGCUCAAGGGAUUGAAGAGUACAAGUGGACCUGUAGUGCGGACCGGCAAUAUCAUCAGAGCGGGUGCACUCGUCGUUGCUAGAACGCCUCUCGUCGAAAGACGGAGACUCGGGUCUAUCGGAAUCGGAAGUCAUUGGAAAGAAGGAAAAAUUCAAGAUCCGGCGAAGAGGGUUUUUGGUGAAGGAACGAAGAGAGAGUUUUCGAUUAAAAUACAAAAGUAAAAGAAGAGAGUAAUGGUGAAAAGAAGUUACCUCAAGCUAAUGAUGAAACCGCCUCGGAAGUCGUGUGGGAAGUGAGAAGGUUUUUUCCGUUUUAAUAGUAAUUAAUCAAUAUACGGUCAUAAUGAUGACAGAUGUCACUCGGUUAAAAAUGGCUAGUGCCGAAAUUAAAGGAGUGAUGAGAUUUUCGGCGGGAAAUCAGAAAGAUUCUCGAGCGCAAUCUUUGGCCACUUGAGCAUUUAAAGUCCUCCGAAUUGGAAUAGCACUUCGAAGAACUUGGGGGGCUAAUUGUUGGUGUCGGAUCCCGCACUAGAUGUACGAGACCAACCAAAGAUUGCCACGUAAUCAAGAUAAUGGCCCAUAAAGGAUAAAGCCCAUUGAACCCGUGAGCCAAAGGGACGGUCGAAGUGGUUGUCACCAUUUCGAUAAUCCGAAGUGAUUGCACUGUGACACGAGUUCGGCGUAGAAGACACGGGUAAGUCGGUUCAAAGGCACUUGGGCCAAAGGAGGCGAGGCCCAUGAAGAUCAGAGUCAACUCAAAUUCAAACGUUGAGCAUUAAAGUCGAAGAAUCAAAACGGACACAUUUAAGAAGGAAUAAUUGUACUUAAUUGCUCAUUUUAAUGUCGUUUAUCUAUGUAUAAAUAUAGAGGCCAAUGGCCAUGUAAAGGGGGGCUUCCUCUCAAGAGAGAAAUACUAUAGCAAUUUUCGUAUCAAUUUAUAAGUUUUUUACAUAUUCAUUUUUGUCCCUCAAGAAUAACCUUUCCCACUUAACAAAAUACUUGAGUGUGUGAAUCCGACAUCCACACCUCCCACUUAUCCGCAGGGAGAGUACCAUUAAGGAUGUAUUCUCUGAUGGGUAUCCGCCAGUCUGCCCCCAAUCCAGAAGCGGUAGCGCUGGCGGUAGUGGUUCCGGAUUUAGCGGUGUUCCGAUUAGUGAUUCUUCUUCGGAGUUCUGCUCAGUUUCCUCGACCCUUUGUGGUUCUUGUUCCACACUCAUCCUUCUUUGCAUAGACCGUGUAGUCACGAAAUUCAGCUCUCCGGUGGCUAUACUGGGAUGUUCAAUUACUUCGACAGGGAUCAUUCGGCUCACUGUUACUUCGGAGCUCGACGCCAAUGCCGCUAAGGCAUCCGCUGCUGAGUUCUCACUUCGCGGAAUUCUAAUGAGUUCGAAACUAAGAAACUUUUUAUUUAAUUCCUGAACCUGAGCGAGGUAAGCUUCCAUUCUGCCAUCUUUUGCUUCAUAAUCGCCGGAAAAUUGAUUAGCAACGAGCUGCGAGUCGCAAAAUGCCCGUAAUUUUGUGACACCUAUCCCAACCGCUAGACGAAGUCCUGCAAGGAGAGACUCGUACUCCGCCUCGUUAUUUGACGCAUUAAAUGCGAGACAAAAUGACCUUUCAAUUACCUCACCAUAUGGGGAUUGUAAUCGAAUACCGAUCCCGGAACCCUGUCUUGAGGACGCGCCGUCCACAUGAAGUAUCCAAGGUCCUUCAUUUUCUUUGACUUCCACGGAGACCAGAGGUAGUUCGAUCAGAAAAUCUGCGAGGACUUGAGAUUUCAAGCUUGUCCUUGUUCGGAACUGAAUAUCAUACUCGCUUAGCUCAAUUGCCCAUUUAACCAAUCUUCCUGACUGACUCGGACUAUGCAAAAUUGCCCUUAUAGGUUGCGUGGUUAGGAUAAUAACCGUAUGGGACUGAAAAUACGGUCUUAAUUUCCGAGCCAAAGUAAUUACUGCCAGAGCUAACUUUUCCAUCAUCGGAUAUCUUGACUCCGCUCCCGAAAAAGACUUGCUUACAUAGAAAAUCGGUUUUUCGUCGCUCCGAUCCAAUCGCACUAACACUCCACUUACUGCGCUGUCAGAAACCGAUACGUACAAGAAAAGCUCUUCUCCGAACUCGGGUUUCGCUAACACAGGAGGUUUGGACAAAUAAUCUUUUAGAUCUUUGAAAGCCUUUUCGCAAUUCUCAUCCCAGAUGAAAUUCUUGUUUGCUUUUCGGAGCAGAUUAUAGAAUGGAAGGCACCUAUCGGUUGACCUCGAGAUGAAUCGGUUCAAAGCUGCUAUCCGCCCCGUGAGUCGCUGAACUUCCCGGAUGUUGCGAGGCGAAGUCAUCGCCAGAAAAGCGUUCAACUGUCACGGAUUAGCUUCGAUUCCACGCUCCGUGACAAUGUAACCCAAAAACUCUCCCGAAGGAACUGCAAAAGUGCACUUGGUCGGGUUCAAUUUCAUUCCGAACUUAUUCAAAAUUGCGAAGCACUGCUCUAGAUGCUCAAUAUGCGAAGUGCUUGAUACUGACUUCACCAACAUAUCGUCAAUAUACACUUCCAUCGUUUUACCGAGGAGAUCUUUGAACAUCAUAUUCACCAACCGUUGAUAAGUGGCUCCGGCAUUUUUCAACCCGAACGGCAUGACUAUAUAACAAUAAGUUCCACGGUCCGUGAUGAAAGCUGUCUUUUCCUGGUCUUCUGGAUUCAUCAAAAUCUGAUUAUACCCGGAAAAAGCAUCCAUAAAGGACAUCAUUUCGUGGCCCGUAGUUGACUCCACAAGUCGGUCGAUGUGCGGAAGUGGGAAACUGUCUUUGGGACAGGCUUUAUUAAGGUCGGUAAAAUCUACGCAAACCCGCCAUUUCCCAUUUUUCUUCUUGACUACAACAGGGUUUGCCAACCAGUCCGGAUAUUUGACCUCGCGAAUCAAACCGGCAUCGAGCAGUCGCUGAACUUCGGCAUUUACAGCCUCGGCUCGGCCUGGACCAAGUUUCCUGCGUUUUUGUUUUACUGGUUUGAAAGUCGGGUCAAUGUUGAGCUCAUGCGAAAUGACCUUUGUAUCGAUCCCAGUCAUCUCCUCGAUUUUCCAGGCGAAAGUUUUUUGAUUCCUUUUUAGGAAAGUUAUCAGUUCGGCUCGGAGUGUUUCGCUUAAUCCCGCUCCUAUUCUCACAGUUUGAUCCGGAUACUCCUCAUUAACUACCACUGCCUCCACGAGGUCACUGCUUAUUUUUUUUACGGGAUUUGCAGGCACCUCGAACUGUGGUUGCUAUUGAAUUUUAAGCUUAUGACUGGACAUGUAACACAUCCUCGCGGCUCGCUGACUUCCCAGGAUUUGCUUUACUCCGGACUUCGUAGGGAAUUUCAAGCAUUGAUGAUACGUUGAAGGUACUGCUUUCAUCUCAUAAAUCCAGGGUGUUCCCAAGAUAACAUUAUAAGCAGCCGGACGAUCGAACACCGUGAACUCAAUCAUUUUGACUAUGCCUUCUGCGCAUACCGGGAGCACAAUCGUUCCUAAUGACAUUGAAGUUUCGCUAGUAAAGGAAACCAAAGGAGAUGGUGGCCCCCUUAUAUCUUGCUUCGAUAUCCCCAUUCUUGUCAGAGUAUCGAGGAAAAUUAAAUCCACCGAACUCCCAGUAUCAAUGAGAACCCGAGACACUUCGCGAUGCGCAAUAUCGAGUGUUAUGACCAGAGCAUCGUCGUGUGGUUUGUCAAGUUGACUUGUUUCUCUUUCGGAGAAUGUUACUUCGGGUAAUUGUUCCUCAGUAAGUCUGGCCUUCUUGAUUAUCGGGGUGGUUACCCUCCGUUCGUGUUGCUUGAUUGCACUAAUGGAGUCUCGAAAUAGCUUGGAUCCCCCCAUAAUCACCUGGAUUUGCUUCUUCGGUCCUUUAAGAACAUCAGGGGACUGGAUCUUUUUGGUUUUUUUGCUAGGAGGAGACGGUUCCUCCGUUGCUAAUGUUUGCUCCGACGGAUGAGUUGGCUCGAGCUCCGAAAUAUCGAUUUCGGUUAUUUCCCCGGAUGCGAACUUGGCAGCCAGUAACCUUCCUAGAGCCUUGCAAUCUUUCGUAGCAUGCCCAUUGACUUUGUGGAUCUCGCAGUAUGCGUUUGGGUCACGAAUCCACUUGUUACUCGGGAAAGCGCCGUUUUUGCUCUUUGGCGAGAAAGACUGCUUCGCAGGCGAAUUCUUCGGAGAAACUUUUGGCUCCUCCCGACCCACUGAGAAUGUGCUAGCUCCAGGCUUCCGAACUUCAGGUUGAACAGGUAUCUUCUGAGGAAGAAGUUGAGCAGGUUUCGGAGCUGCUUUAAACUUUUUUGCUAGAGCGGCCCGCUCUUCUUCUGCGUUUAUCCAGUUCAUUGCCCGAUGGAGGGCGUCUUGAAUAGUGGCUGGUCGGUUAACAACCAACUCUUCUCGGAAAUGGGAUUCGUGCCAUAGACCGUUCUUGAGUGCAGCAAUUGCUGCGGAAUCAGACAGAUUUGGGAUCUGGACCAUAAUCUCUUUAAAGGAGGUGAUGUAAGUCCGGAGCGGCUCUCCGGCUCCCUGUGAGAGGUUCCACAGCUGGGCAUCAGUUACAUCGCUCUUGAUGAAGUAUCCGUACUGCAUGAUGAAAGCAGUGGAUAGUUGCUUGAAGCUAUCGAUCGAUCCUUCUUCUAGUUGAGUAAACCAGGUCAAAGCCGGCCCGGAUAGGUUCUCGGCGAAGAGCUUGCAUAAGCCUGCGUCUACUUCGUUUGGCUCCAAAUGUACCCGACCUACGGUCACCUGAAAAGACGCUAAAAAUUCUUUGGGAUCUCCCUUACCAUCGUACCCAGGAAGCUUGACCUUCCUUUGGUCUCGAAUUCGCAGGGCUACAAUUCGUGGAGUAAAAGGAGUCCUUCUCGUCUCCUCGAUCACUCUAUCGACUUCGGGAGCCGAACUGGUGGCUUGAUGAACCCUCGAACUCAUUUCCCGAAUCUGAUUUUGUAAGCUCUGGAUUUCCGGGUUGACCGGAAGGUGAGGUGGAUGGGACUCGGUUUGAGGAUGAUGCGGGGUGCUGCCAAGAUGAAUGGGGAGAGGUGUUCUGGCUGGAACAAAAGGACCGCCGGCCGAAUUUGGAGGUGCUUGAGCAUGACGGGAUCCAUCUCCAGGUUCACUCUGAGAGCCAAGAGGCAAAGAAGAUGGGAGUACGUUGUUCGGGGAAACGAGUCUAGGAUCCUGAACCUCCGAAACGUUUGGACCAUGAAAGUCCAAAUGGCCGCGAGGUCCGCUGGUCCGCAAAGUUCCUGCAAGAAUUGUAUCAACCCGAUCCGCAUAAGCAUUAUGGGCUGACCUGAUUUCGGAAAAACUCGCUGUGAGGACUGCGAUUUGGCUGCCGCUUUGCUCUUCAGACGCUGAAAGCUUCUCAGACAACGCAGUGGUGGCGAGCUGCUGCUGGUCGGUCUUCUCGGACAGAUCUUUAAGCAACUUCUUGAUCUCGUCGAGGACUGAAGCCGGAUCCGCUAUGUCUGACAUCUUUCCGAUUGAUAUUCUGGAGUAAAAGACUAGAAAUCCCCUCCUUCUAGCGCCAAAUUGUGGAUGUCGGAAUCCGCAAUACAAAUUUUAUGAUGUGUAUCGGAUCGUCUAGCCUUGCUAAUUCGAACAGCAAUCGUGAGAAGAAAACAAGAGAGUAAAGUGUGUGUAUUUGUUUAUUGCUCAAGAAAAAUCCCCCCCAUUACAAUGGUUUUCGUUUCCUAUUUAUAAUUACAAGAUUUGAAACCGAAGUCGCUCGUCAAGCCGCAGAUCUCGCCCUCAUUAUUGCUUCCGUUUCGAAUCUUCCCGAUCUAGCAGAUCCCGUGCAACCUGCCUUUCAUUUAACUCGUGGGAUCCCGACGUUUUACUCGAACUGGGCUUGAACUUAUUGGGCCGCUCUUUUCGUCCCCUGGACCGGGCCGACGGCCCACUUCGUCUUAUUGAUUCACUAUCUUUCCGGGCCGGAUCCGAACUGCGGGAUCCGACACCAACAGUAAGGGUGUUUUAUUUUAAGUGGAGACUCGACACAUUCUUUGUGAUACAUUUGAUUACAAUAAUCACAGAAAUAAUAAUCAGUACCAAAAUAUGAGCCAUCGCAUGCACUACAUCCACCAUUGACAUCAAAUUCUUUAUUGUUGCACCAAAACAAAGGGAGUACUGAAUGAUCAUCAGCGUCAUAUAAAAAAACGAUGUAACUUAUCAUAGAACCGAAUGGGAGAUUGGUAAUUGAAGAAAGGUUUAUGGUAAGUGGAAAGUCUUUUUUCCAUUGUGUUCUAGGACAUAAGAAAAAAGGUUGAAGAAGGGUAUCAUCGCUACUGGCUGUUUCACCGGCAGAGGUUGGACUUCGAGUUUGUGGUAUGGGAUGGCGAUAUACCAAGGAUAAUUUACCAUCUUUCUCCAUCAUAUGAAAUAUUCCACAAUCAUUAUCCAUGGUAGCUCCCGGUCUUUCUUUAUUGUAUCUCUGUUAAGGUCUUUUAAAAGUGUUGUUAUACAAAAAUCAAAUGUUUAACAAUCCAAUACAUAUGAAAAUGAUUUGAUUCUUAUAUAAUGUGAAAACGAAGUGAGCUUUGUUCUUUUCUUUGUAGUUUUCAUAAUGUUCUUUCCAUGCAAAUAAAGAAUCAACUUUUCUUUGCCUAUGGUUUUCGUCUCGUAUGAAAAAGUCCUGCUAUGCAAGAUAGUUGAUUAAUGGAUGAUUAACGUGUAAACGAACGUCGAUUUUUGCUUUCCACGUACAUAAAGAAUCCAACUUUUCUUCCCAUAUAGCUUUCGUCAUUUCGGAUUAAUCACAUACCCACUUCAAGGCAUCUCUACCGUCGAAUUUGGAUCUCCCCGUGGUCUCCCACGAUUUGGCUCUGAAUAUUAUCUUGCAAAGCACAAUCAUAUGGUAAGGAGCAGCGAGACGGUGGAAAUGUGCCUUUUAGAUGGCUCAGGAUUAUUUGGUUGUUUGGUUCGUUUAAUGUUGUCCAGAGUUUAACUCGGUCACCAAAAUGUUUAAAACAUGUAUCAGCCAAGUACAUGAAAUCUUUCCUUCAAAAUUCGAAAGAUGAAAUUAGAGAUUAUUUUGAUUGGUCUGAUUUUAUUUAAAAUUCUACAGAUUCUAUUUGACCACUCAGUGCAUCUCGGGGCUCAGCCAACUUUGAAACCGGUUUUCGAGUUCUUGAGGAUAGUCCAAAUGGUUCACCGUCACAAAUGGUUUGAUCCCUGGAUACAUUUACCAUCUAGUUAAAUCUUCAGAAAAUAUUAGUUUUGAUGAUUAGUUCAAAUAAAAAUAUUAAUUACGAGUAAGAAUAGUUAAAGACAAACAUUUUUACCUCUACUAAUGAGAGCGUCGAUUAAUCUGUUGUAAUACGUUAUUCCUGAAUAAUUAAUACUUCCAAAUCUUCCUCCUGUCUCCCAAGAAAACAAACCUUUUAACUGAAUAACCGAUUUCCAAACCAAUUGAUUAAUGGUAGAAGGUAGAUUACUUUUGAAAAUAUGUACAGUACUAAGUAGCCAAAACUUACUCUUUUUAGAAACAAUUUCACAAACGAAAUAUCAAAAAUCGUAAAUAAAUUGGUUCAUUUACCCUUUUUUAUUAUUAUUUUUGAGACCUAAUGAAUUCCUCUUGCACGAAAUUGGUUCAUUUAUCAUGUGUAUUUAGUAUUUACUAUUAUUUCGCAAAUAUCAUGCUAUUUUAUAUGAUAUAUCAUGUUAUCUUUUAAAAUCACAAAAAAUGCAUCAUUUAUUUAUGGUCUUUGCCUUACUUUUUUUUUUUCUUUUUUGCUAAUUUUCUAGCAAAUUUAGUUAUCUGGCAAAUUAACUUGUUUUUUUUAACCGGUACGAAUAUAUUUAUAACGAAAUUAGUAAUAAUCAAGUCAUCAUGAUAUUUAAAAAAAAAAAAACAUCUUACUUGGUAAGACUCUAGACCAAGAAAUUGAAAAUCUGUAACUGUUGACCCCAAGCGAAGUCAUUAAUUGGAUGUCCUCCUGUAACCAUUAGUAGACACAAUAAAAUUAAUCACAUUUCCUAAGUAGAAAAAAAAAACACAAAAUUAUUAUUAGAAAGUUAUUUGACCAUAAAUCGAUGGUAUUGAUCCACAGCCAUGUCUCCAUUGUUCUCAUCACGUAUUUUGCCUGUAUAUUUUGCAAUUAAAUUUUUUAUUAAGUAACUAAUUGUUAUAAUAUUCAUACAGAUAUAGAUUAACACGUAUAUAUUAGCAGCUACUACUAUGUCAACAACAUACAUGACGACUAGUUGUCCUGAUGACCUGACAUAUAUAUUAAACCUUAAACCUGUAUUGGUAAUGGGAUUGACGAAGCUAAUCCAAACACCAGAACAAAGUAGUUUGGAUUAGUUGUAAUUUUACAUUUGUUCAUGAUUUUCUCCUAACUCAACAAUCUUAACCGAAACUAAACCGAAUCAAACUAGAAAUCAAUACAUACCAGGAUAUUCAUGCGUAAAUAUGUCCCAAUUGUUCAAACCUUUUCCUUCGGUCAAGAAAGCACCUUCAUACUAUUUACAUCAAAUAAUAUACCAAAUAAGAAAAGCAAGAACAAGCAUUAACAUAAACUGAAAUUCGAAUUUGACUCCAAAAUCUGUGUUCUUUUUUUUUUUUAAGUAGAGGAACAAAAGAAGAAUUACCUGGUACGCAGAAGAAGCAGUGCCAAAGAGAAAAUCAGAAGGAAAUGGAAAUGAAUCUCCUAAAAUGUUCUCUGAAGAACUUUGAUUAAUACAUUAAACAUUAAGCUUUGUAAUAAAAUGGCCAAUAGGAAAAUCGAUAAGUUUCCCAUUUUGUCUGCCUCUCUCGUGUUUGAGUUUGCCUUCUAACUUUUGGUGUUGUCUUCUGUGUCUAUAUGCACUUUAUAUAUUAGCAAAAUAAUUAAUUAAACUAAAUCCUACCAAUUCAAAAUUCUAUAUUUUCUUUUAGGUAACAUCUUUUUUUUAUUAAGGAUUUAGUUUUAGCUAGUUAGUGAUUUUGAUGAUUUAGAUAUUAGUUUGUAAUUAAUUUUGAUGGUUUUGACUUUUAAAUAUUUUUCUUAUUUUGCGACCUUAUAAAAUAGGUUCAAGUUCAACCCCCGGCCCAUAUUAAAAUAACUGUAAACCAUGUAUAAACAAUAAAUAAAUGCAUACCAUAGGAAUUGCUCAACCACUCGGCUUUUUUCUGGCAAAAUAUAUUGAGUAGAAUACUAUCACCUAUACAUGUAACGUAAAAAAUGAGUUUUAAUGUUCAUUAUAUUCAGUAACAGUCGAUAUCAAUACGACUAGCGAUGGUGACCGCAACAACGAUUUAGUCACUGCAAAUAUAAGUUGACAUUUGUCUUUGAAAUUUGCAAAACAAACAUAAUUUCAGUAGGUGAACCUUCCAUCUUUUUAGUCAAUCGCAUUAUUCUUAACAAAACUCUACAAAAUAUAUAAGAGGGAAGUCAUGACAGAGUUUGUUGAUUAAAAUGAUUAUCGGCCUCAGCAUGAGAAACUGAAACAAUUCAUCAAUUAACUAGGCAAUGUACCUUUCUAUUUAUAUUCUUGAUUGCGAACAACAAUUAUUUCCAUAAAACAAUUUAAAUAGAUGUGUACCCGAAUUUUCUUGUACACUGAUUUUUGUAAUAAAACUGUUGUGCAAGAUUAGCAAACCAAUUAUUUACUUAUACCAUACACAAUACACAUCCAAACAAAAAAAUGAGAAGCUUUUUAACUAAGCCUUCCUAAUUUUGACUUCCUUUGAUUGUAAACACUAAUUCAUUAUUAGUUUAUCUACAUAUUAUUUUUCCCUGUUAUCUCCUAUAUUACCGUGCUGUUCAAUGAAGUUCUUGUACCAUGAAGCUGAUUGCUUUGGUGUCCUUUUCAGAGUUGUAUAAUCAACAUGGAAUAAACCAAAUCGAAGCUUGUAUCCGUACAACCAUUCGAAAUUAUCUAAUAGUGACCAUGCGAAAUAUCCCUUCACAUUUGCUCCAUCCCUACAACAAAGUUCACACUAAUUAAUUAUAUCUUAGAUUCAAUGUCUCUUUUUUUUUUGAGCAAAAGAUUCAAUGUCUCUAUGUCUUUAAAUUCAAUGAAUAUAUAUGAAUUGGUUUAUCAACUAAUUAAAUAUACAAUUCACAUACCUCAUUGCUUCUUUCAAAGCAUCCAAAUAUCCACUCAUGUAUUGUAUCCUUUUUGUAUCAUCCAGAAGUUCUUUAACCGUCGUCUCGGGUUUUUGCAAGGUUCCGAAACCUACAAACCAUUGAUAAUUAUUGUUCAAAUACAUUUUUUAAAAAUAUAUGUAAAUAACCCAAAAGCUUGAGGUAAUUGUACCAUUUUCUGUGAUGAACAUUGGCAUGUUGUGGUACCUAUUUUUAAGGUAAUUUAACAUCUUCUUGAAACCGUCAGGAUCAAUAUGCUGCCAAUUGACGUCAGUCUAUCAUGUACAAAAAACCAAGCAUUUCAAAAAUAAUGUUAGAAAACACAAUAAUGUACUGGAGAGUCCAACAAAAACUUCAGAAAAUAUAUAUACACAAAUGGACUUACAAGUUCACCGAUUGAAACAUUGCCUUUCCGGUCUAAUUUGAGGGCGAAUCCUUCGCUUUUAGAAGCUCCAUUUCCAGAUCCAGAAUUACAAGCAGUGAUCAAACAAUCUUGGAUGAAGUAACUUGUGUAGUGAUUAAUACCCAAGAAGUCUGAUUUGUAAUUCUUUAUGCUAUUCAUUUCAUUACUCGAAAAUCUCGGCAAAGCUGAGCCAAGUAUAUUUACCAUUUCUUCCGGAUACUUCCCAUAUACAACGGGAUCUAGAAUCCUGAUAUUUAGUACACAUUAGACAAGAAAACAUGAAUAUGUGAAUUAUACAAACUCAUAUAUGAUGAAUAUUUGGGUCUGACUUGUUAUAAUAUAACAUACCAAUUUGAAUAAAAUGAUUGAGCUCUCUCGGCAGCAUUUUUAUCCACAAUCGAAUCACUUAUGGGUUCAAACCAUGAUGUUUGUACCACAAUGCCAAUGAUUCCCCUUUGUUCCUUCUACAAAAAAAUUGUAAUAUAUCAAUAUAAUACGUACAAAUAUAUAUAUAGUUAAAAUCAUAUAGCUAGAUAGUAUAUUGGUUAUUGUUACUUGAUAUUUGGUUCGGUAUAUUUGAAUCGCCUUUGCAUGUGCGAGGAUCAUAUUAUGAGCGGCUAUAAACGGCUCAGUUUCCGAGUUCCCCUGAGUACAAUUUCCGUAUGGCAUGGAGCACCGGGAUGGUGGAAAUAAACCACUUCGGUAGGCUAAGAUUAUUUGUUGGUUUGGUUCGUUAAUCGUGAUCCAGUGUUUAACUCGGUCUCCAAAAUGUUUAAAACAUAUAUCAGCUAAGUACGCGAAAUCUUUCCUGAAUUAAAAACACUUAAGGAAUUAGUUUUAGUUAUGGUAAAAUAGUUAGAGACUUAGGAGGGGUUAUUGGUUCAUAGAUUUAUAUGGAAUUAGAAAUCCAAACAAAAAUCAUUUGUUAUUCAAUCAUUGAUUUUAAAAUCCUAAUUAAAUUCAUGUGUUAUUGGUUCUAUGAUUUAUAAAUACUAGUUAAAAUCUUAUGUUAUUCGUUUAGUCAUUUGUUUUUAGAUUUGAGAAUCCAAAUUAUGUUUUAAAUGGAAUUGAAUGGAAUUGAAAGAGAAAAAUAGAAGGAUUCAAAUCCAUGGGUAAACACAUGUUAUUUCAAAAUCCAUAUAUCUUGAUUUCAUAAUUAAUAGAAAUUUUCAAAUUCUAUAUGAAUUUACAAAUUAACAAACUAAUAACACCCCCUUAAUUUAUAAACUCACUGCAUCUCGGAGCUUAACCAACUUUUGAACCGGUUCUCGAGUUCUUGAGGAUAGUCGAAAUGGUUCAACGUCACAAAUGGUGUAAUCCCUGUAAACAUGUACAUGAAACAUAGUAAUUUUUGAAGUUAAAUCUCUGUAUAUAUUUAAUGCUUCAUUAGAUACUAAACUAAAAAUUAAGAAGAAGGGAGAGUAAAUAUUACCUUUUCUAAUGAGAGCGUCGAUCAAAUUGUUGUAAUACUUUAUUCCCUUAUAAUUAAUACCUCCAAAUCUUCCAUCUGUAUUUUCCCAAAUGCAAAGGUAUUUUAAUUUCAACCAAAAGAAAAGAUACACAUUUUAAAGUUUAAACAUUUUGUUUCCGGUUUAGAUAUCUGAACCAAUCGAUUGAUGGUAGAAGUUUAAAUUUAACCGAAUUUAAUUAUUACAAUCAUGAUUAAGAAAAUAAAGACUUACUAGGUAAGACUCUAGACCAGGAAAUUGAUAAUCUGUAACUGUUGACUCCAAGAAAAGACAUUGAUUGGAUAUCUUCCUGUAAUCACAUAUAGUAGAUAGAUGUCAAUAAAAUAAAGAAGAAGAAAACAUAUAAAGUGGAUAAUUUAUCCAUUAAAUAAAUAUAUAUUAGAAAAAGGUACAAAAUAUUAUAAUGAAAAUUUUUUAACCAUAUAUCGAUGAUAUUGAUCCGUAGCUAUGUCUCCAUUGCUCCCAUCAACUAUUUUCCCUGCAUUUUUAAUAAAAUAUUGUCAAUGGAAUCAACAUGGCAUUUAUAAGAUGAAAACUUUUUCGAGAACCAAUCAAAGAAAGCUAAAUUGUAAUUUAAUUUAAAUAUGAUAUGCAUGGAUAUAUAAAUGACUACAAACUUAAUUUGAACCCAGAACUAAACCACAAGACUCAUUCAAAACAUAAAAAUUGUUUAGCUUAUUAUCUAAACCAAAACAAAAUUGGAUGAAAAAAAAAAUCAACUUAAAGUCCAAGUUAGUUCAAUUUCGACAUUCUUCAAGAUUCUCUCCAAACCAAACUAACCAUAGACAGAAUUUAAAAUAAACACAUACCAGGGUUUUCAUGGGCAAAGACAUCCCAAUUGUUCAGACCUUUUCCAUCGUUUAAGAAGGCACCUUCAUACUAAAUAUGUCAAAUAAAAAACAAAAACAAAAAUUAUAAAUUGACUCCAAAAUCUGAUUACAUGCAGAAAUAUAAAAAGAAAGAAAGAAACAAAAAAAAAGGUACCUGGAAAGCAGAAGAAGCUGUGCCAAAGAAGAAAUCAGAAGGAAAUAGAGAUGAAUCAUCUGAAGUUUGAUGAAGACAUGAACUGUAAAGAGGAAACAAUAAGCUUUGUAAUAAAAACGGAAUUGCAAAGUUGGCAAAACUUUUCAUCUUUUUUUUUCUCGUGUAUGUCUUCUGUGGUUUUGGUGUGUGCUCUUAUCUAUACGUGUCUAUAUUUAUAUGAAAAUUUCAGAAUAUUUUAAAUGCAUUAUUGAGAUUUUGGGGGCAGUCUUGUCUACUAUUUUAAAAUUCCCCAAUUUCUACCUACUGAAUAUAGACAAAGCAUACCAAAUUUUUACAUAUAUAUUAUAACCAAAAAGCAUCUGCACAUGCAUUAUCAUAAAGUUUAUAAGAAAAUCAUUAAAAUUUAAUAUAUGAACGUGUGCCUAUAACAACUCCAUCUAAUUUCGUACGUUAAUAUUUCACUGAUUUUACUUUCUAGAUAUAUAACGCUGAUUAUUAUUAUAUAAAAUAUAAAAAUAUGGACGUCAGAUAGUAAAAAUAUAUAAAUAAAAAUAUCAUGACUAUAAUUUAUAGCGUAAUAGUUUGUAAUAUUGUUGUUACUAUGCUUCGGAUUCAAAAUCCAUAUAUUUCAUGUUAUUGACCGUGUGAAACAUUAAUUAAUUAAUUUACUGAUAUAUAACUCUUUAACGACAAACAUGUUCAUUAAUAAAUGUCUUAAUUCUUAAAUAUUACUCGCGUGUCAAAUAUUUUAAUAUCCGUCGCCAUAAUUUACAAUUCUAUGGCACGAGUCACACGACUAAUUUAUAACUUUUAUCUUUUAUUAAACGACUAAAAUCCUUUGCAACAUACUAAAAAGGCAAGUAAAAAGAAAAAACUUACGGUUUCGUACAAGAAGUUGUAGUGCGGCGGAGAACGUUGACUGGUUUGGUGAAGGGGUUGGUGAUCUGGCGGCUGAGGAUAGGUCUCGUGACGUGGCUACUCCUAGCUUCAUAACUAUCGUCGGAAGUUUCGUAUCUCAACUUACUUCUUUUGAAGUUUCCAGUCUCUGAAAGAAAAUCGCAGAACAAGGUUGCGUACACCAUAAGAAAUAUGAAAAAUAGGAAAGAAAAAAUGAUGAUUCUAAUAGCAAUAGGUUUAAAAAAUAUCAUCUUCUUCUUCUUAUUAUUCAACUCUAUAGCUGUUUUUCUUUUCUUGAUUCUAGGUUACUAGUAUAUCUGUUUUCUUUCCUAGGUCUUUAUAAUACAGCUGUAUGAAGAUUAAUUCAAAGAAAUUGAAGAUAUCAGCGAUGGAGACCAUAUACGAUUAACUCAACCACGCAAGGUUUUGAAAUUUUUAAUUCUCGAUUAACAAUAUUGCAAAGAAACAUAUAUUUUUAUUUUUAGAUUAAUAAACCUGAUUUGUCAUGACUAAGUGCGCGUUAUACAGUUUAUAUGGCAACGAAGUUGACUUCUAUACACCUAGAAACGAUCUUGUCGUGAAAAGACCAAAGGAAUUCAUCAACCACGCAACCAUUUAUAUAUGUAAUUGUUGAUUCCGACCCAUUUUGCUUAUAUGUAAUUGUUGAUUCCGACCCAUUUUGCUUAUAUGUUAUUUAUGUUAUCAUCAUUUGUUCGUGUGUCUUUUUCUUUAGAUUGUUUAAUGGCUCAUUGUGUAUUUGAUUAAAUUGAUAGUCUAUAUGUAAUUGACUAACUGUAAGCAAUAACUCACAGUUAGACAUUACGUAGAUGAUUUAUUUUUCAGAAUAGAAAUGUUCAAAACUUUUCUAUUCAACCAAUAAAAGUGUAUGGGUAGUUUUGUAAAUUAAAUAGAAAUGUCGUGACUCAUACUUGAAACAUGAGUAUUUCGCAUAACAAUAUUGAAGGAAAAUUGCCAACAGAAAAAUUUUCGGUGUGUUUUACCAAAAACUUAUCUUACAUAAUUUGAAGCGAAUUAAAAUCUUAACAUAUAUCAACGUUAAACCGUAGACAAAAAAAAAAACACAGAUCGUUUUAUCACUAGGUAUUUUUUCUUUCAUUUUGUCAUUUAUCAGUUAGUUUAGUGAUUUUAUUUUAUAUUUUUAAUAUUUUUUUAUCUAAAAAUUAAGAAGAAUCUAGCUGAACAGUAAAACAGUGAUGCAUGUCGCGUCUAGAAUUCACACUUUUUUCUUGAUUGCGCAUUUUAGUAUGAACAACAUGAUCUCCAAAAUUAAAUUUGGAGGUGAUGUCAAAUGCUUUAUAUUGUGAUUUUUAAUCUAAAACAGUUUUGUUUAGUUUUGUACUACUUUUGAUUUAAAACUGUUAUCUUAGAGAAGUUUUUGUUUCAGUUUUCGUUGACAACGUGUUGAUUUUUUUGUUUUUUUUGAUAAAGUAAACGUGUUGAAUUAUUACUGGGCAAGAUUAGACAAUUAGUCCCGUAACACAUUAAACAUUCACUUUAAGCUAAAGAAACAUUAGUCAUUCAUUCAACAAUAAUGAUAAGUUUUGAAUUCUUCUAGUUUGACUUUAUUUGUUUAAGAAUACACAUAAGUUUUCUUCCUUUGACCCAAAAAAAAAAAAAAAACCUAAGGUCUCUUCUAUUCACGCGUUCUUCAACAGUUAAGCUAAUAAAAUUAUUGUGCAAGAUUAGACGAAUAAUCAUGUAAGUAUGUAACACAUUAAACUUUUAGGAGAAAAAAGACAAAUUUAAUCAUUCAACAAUGAUAAGUUUAAAUCUUAAAAUGCUUUUUGUAGUUUGACUUUUUUUUGCAGUGAAUACGAAUUAAAAACUUAAUGUAUUUAUUGAUUAUCUACGACUACGAGAUCUCUUCGAUUCACGUGUCCUUCGAUAAAGUUUUUGUACCAUGAAGCUGAUUGUUUCGGUGUUCUUUUAAGUGUUGUCAGAUCCACAUGGAAUAGACCAAACCGAACCUUGUAUCCGAACAACCACUCAAAAUUGUCUAAUAGUGACCACACAAAAUAACCCUUCACAUUUGCUCCAUCCCUACCAAAACAAAAUUCACAACUUAUAUAGAAUUAGUAAAUUGACAGUAGAUAAAAUGAUCAAAAUAUAACUAAGAAAUGAAUUUCUCCACAAAUUUACGUAAAUUCUUUACCUCAUUGCUGCUUGUAGAGCUUCUAAGUAUCCACUCAUGUAUUGAAUCCUUUUUGUAUCAUGUAGAAGUUCUUUAUCUGUUGUUUCAGGUUUUUGCAAGUCUCCAAAACCUUCAAGUUAAUAAUAAUUGUUGAUGAUGAUUUCAAAUAUAUAUGGAUCAGGAACUCGAUAUCAUUGGUUAAAUUUGAGGUCUUGUACCGUUUUCGGUUAUGAAAAUCCGUAUGUUUGGGUACCUAUCUUUUAAAUAAUUCAGCAUCUUGUGAAAUCCUUCUAGAUCAAUAUGCUGCCAAUCUACAUCGGUCUAUCAUACAAAAAAAGAUGGUCACUGAUGGAAACAAUAAAUGCAUUAAAAGUUUAAAACAUUAGAAUAUAAUCGCAAAUAUAAAAAGAGAACCUAUGAAUGAAUGUACUUACAAGUUCUCCAAUAGAAACAUUGCCUUUACGGUCUAAUUUAUGGGCAAAUCCUUCGGCCUUAAAAGCUCCAUGUCCGGUAUUACAAGCAGAGGUCAAACAAUCUUGAAUGAAGUAACUUGUAUAGUGAUUAAUACCGAUGAAAUCUGCUCUCGAGUUCUCUAAGUUCUUCACUUCAUUGCUCGAAAAUUGCGGCAAGGCUGGUCCAAGAAUAUUUACCAUUUCUUUUGGGUAUUUCCCAUAUAUAACGGGAUCGAGAAUCCUAGUAUGUUAGAAUACAAAGAGAUAAGACAGUAGGGACUUCGGGCUUGAACUUCGGACUUGCCCAUUGGGAGGGAUCUCUUCUCCAAAAGAGAUGAAUUUAACCUGGUGUGGAUCCCGCCUCUGGAAAAUGUAGGGCUUUCGGGCUUGAACUUCCAGAUAUUCAAAAAAGAAUGAAAAAUAAAAAAGAGAUAAGACAGUAAAUAUUACAUAUGUGGGUGAACUAUACUUCAUAUCUAGAAUAAUAUGGUUUCAUAUAUAGUAAUAUAACAUACCAAUUAGAGUAAAAUGAUUGAGCUCUCUCAGCAGCUUCUUUAUCCGCAUUGGAUUCACUAAUGGGUUCAAACCAUGAUGUUUGUACCACAAUGCCAAUGCUUCCCUUUUGUUCUUUCUACAAAAACAUUAUAUUUAUAUCGAUAAUUCACGAAAAUCAGUUUUAUGUAUUCCGCUUUAUUACCUGAUAUUUGGUCUGGUAUAUGUUAACCGCUUUUGCGUGUGCAAGGAUCAUGUUAUGCGUGGCUAUGAAAGGUUCGGUUUCGGAAUUUCCCUGGCUACAGUUCCCGUAUGGCGAGGAACAACGAGACGGUGGAAAUUUACCUGUUAGAUAGCCUAAGAUUAAUUGUUGAUUUGGUUCGUUAAGCGUGGUCCAGUAUUUAACUCGGUUUCCAAAAUGCUUGAAACAUAUAUUGGCUAAAUAACCAAUUCAUUCCUAUCAAAAUAACAAAAAAAAAAAAAAAAAAGUAGUGUUCAUAAUUAAGAUCAUUUCCAUUGCAAGAAAAUAGGGUUAAUUAAUUGGUAAUUCUGUUUAACCACUCACUGCAUCUCGGGGUUUAACCAACUUUGAAACCGGUUCUCGAGUAUUUGAGGAUAGACUACAUGGUUCAACGUCACAAAUGGUUUAAUCCCUGGAUAGUGUUAAAUUGAUACAGUUAUGUAUUUUCAUUAACUUUAUGAGAUUACAAUCUAUAUAUAUAAUGAGAGAGUUUUCUCUCCAUCUAGAGUGUCCACAUAGGCGACACAUCAGUGCACACGUCAUCAUACAUUUUUAAUAGGUAUAAAAUGUUACCAAAAAGAUUCGAACCCCUUACCCAAUACAUUUAAUAGGUGCAUUUCAAACCAAAUUGCCAUUUAAAUCGUUUUGAUUGAUAUCAAAAUUUAAAUUAUAUAUAUGACUUUAUAAAACUUUUACUCAAUUUAUUUAUUAAACGAAGAAACAUUAAAAAAAAAUUCACAUACUUUUAUAUUAUCAUCUUUUAAUAAAAGAAAAUAUUUUUUCAUAAACAAUAACAUUGUUUAAUACAAAGUAAUAUAAUAUAACACACAAAAAUAUGUGAAUAGAAGUUAAUAUACAAAUAGAUAAUUCAAAAAUAGAAGUUAAUGAAUUAAUAAAACACAGCACAAAAAUAUAUAAGAUAAAAAUAUGAAUAAAAAUUAGAAGCAUAUAGAUAAUUUUCAAAUACAUAUAAUUUAUAUAUGAGAAGUAGAAAACAAAAAAAUAUGUUAUCACGCUAGAAAGACAUUAACCUUUUCAAGAGUUAUAAAUAUUUAGAUUAAAAAAAGUUUAUAUGAUAGUAAACUAUAGAAUUUAGAUUACACGAAAUAAGAAUAUCUAUUUUUCAAGAAAAAAGUAUGUAUCCAAAAUCAAGAUAAAAUAUAUAUAAAAUUGUAUAAUAUAUUUAAGGAAAGAAUUUUGAUUUAAAAGUACAAUUAGAUACAAGAUUAAUUUAAACAAUAACGUUAGAGUGCAAUGUUUCAUGGAAAAUGCAAUGUAUGAGAAUAGGAAGAAUACAAAUAUAAAAUUUAAUAUGUAGGAAAAAGAACAUUUUAUAAUAGACAAGAAAAAAUAAAAUAUAAAAAUGAAAUAGAUAAAGAGAAUAUAAUUUUAAUAUAAGUUUAUAAUGAAUAAAAAAUUUAAUCAAUUAUUUUAACGAAAAGAACGUGAAAAGAGAUAAAAUGUCGCGAGGUGGACGACUGCAUAUUAGAAUAUGACGAAUAAAAUGACAGCGAAAUACUUUCAAGAGAAAUUGACUAAAUUCAAAAAGAUGUAUGAACAUGACAUGGUCGAGAUUGUAUAUUUCUCUGAAUUUUUUCAACUAAUUUUUUACCACGUGUUACCUAAAAAUUUGUUGUUUUUUUUAAGAGAAACAUUAUUCUCAAUAAAAUCUAUGUUAUAUAUCAUUUCAUAAAUAGGUUUAUGUCAUUAUAGAUUUAUCUUUUAAAAUUGAAUAUAUAUAUAUAUAUAUAUAUAUAUUUAUAUUCACGGCUUAUAUUGUUAAUAGUUUAUAAGUAAAAUCCCGCGCAUUGGGAUUAGAGAGUCUUCUCUCCAUCUAGGGUGUCCACCUAAGCAUCCACCUAAGCAAUAAUAUUUAUUUUACAUUAAAAUCAAUUUAAAACAUCCAUUUAAUGCAUUUACUUGUAAUUAAUAGAAAUAAUAAAUUUUAAAUAAAUAAAAAACGAAUUAUGUAAAAUAGUAAAAUAAUACUAUUAAAAUUUUAUAAGUAAGACUAAUAUAAUUCAACUUUUAAAUGAUAAAAAUUAAAUAUGGUCAGUAUUCAAAAUUUUAAAUGUGUUAAUGAGUUUUAGGAUGGAAGUAAAUUUAUGUAAUUCUAUAUGUAAAACUUUAAACAAGAAAAUAAAAUUUAAAGUAAAAUAUUAGUUUCAAAGAACAAUAUACUACAUAUUUUUAGUUAUUAUUAAAUUUUUACUUAAAGAAAAAUAAAAAAUUACUAAACUCAACUUAAAUUUAUAAUUUAAGAAGAAAAUAUUGUAAGAUGCAAACUUUAUCUUGUGAAAUUAUAAAAAAAAAUCUUGAAAAUUUUAAAACCUUAUCAUCCAUCUUUUAAAAAAUAAAUAAUCAGUGAUCACAGUAUUCAUGAGUUUUACAAUAAAAUAUAUUAAAAAUAAAUGUAAGCCAUUAAAAAAAAGUGAUAUGUAAUUUGUGUAGCAUAUUCUCAAGUGGAAGUACAACUUUAUAACAGAACAAAAAAAACUAAGUUUGAUAUUUCAUUAAUGAAAUAUUAAAAAGAUAGUUAUGAUAUGUCUUGAAAAUCAAUUCACAGUCCAAUAUAUAUUAUGUGUGAGUCAAUAGAAGGUAAAAAGAACGUAGAUGUCGAGAGGCAACGAUUGCAUCAUAGAAGAUGACGAAAGAACUGGUAGUUAAAAGAGUUUGAAAAUAAAUUUCUAAAACUUUAGAAAGAUAAUGCACAUGACUAAUGUAUCUUUGAGAUCUCAUUCAUUGUGUGAAACGAAUGAGUUCUUAGAAAAUACAUGACAUACAUUAUUAAACAAAUUAUUAGAUUCAAAGUUGGGUUUAACCGUUUGGCCAUGUAAUCAUGGAAAGUAAAAUAAGAUAGGCACAUUGAUGACUUAGUCGGAAAUUCUCUUAUUGUUGCACUAGCUUUGAUGGGUAAAUCAAACUCGCUAAACUGGUUCUAGCAACAUGGUAUUAUAGAUGUACUUUUACACUAAAUAAUGUUCAUGAAACUCGGUAAAUUCACAUUUUAUAUGGAAUGAUUUUAUGUUCGUAUCAACAUUUAAUCAUAAAUAAUAUCUACAAUUAGAUCAACAGUCGAUAAUUAAUAUCAAAACUUUUAGAAAUACCUUCAUGGAAUAUGAAUAAGAAAUAAACUCUUUGAGAGUGUUGAUACCGUUUAUUAUUUGUGGGAUUAUCUUAAGUGAUCUUUGUUACCACGUAAUAUAUAUCAAAUUAUUUAUUUGUCAAAGAAAUAUUAUCGUCGAUAAUAUAUAUGUUAUAUAUCGCUGCGUAAAAUAAGUUUAGUGUUUAAAAUUUGAAUUAUUAUAUUUAUGCUCAAAAAAUUAUCUUUUAAAUUUAAUUGAUUAUAUUUUAUGCUCAAAUUUUAUAUCAAUAGAAAAGAUUUUAAAAUUAAAAUCCCGCGCAACGCGCGGGUACAAAAUCUAGUUUAUAUAUAAUAGCAAUCUAAUAAAUAUCAUUUGCACAUCUGAACAGUUGCGUCUUUUUAUCGCAACCUUUCGUUUAAAUCUGUUUUUUUUUUACGGUUAUGUCUUUUUAUUGAAUUUUCUUUUUGAAUUUUCGUUGAAUUAUUUACGGUUAUAUUUGUUCAAUUACAGUUGUAUCUUUUCAGUUUGCAUUUAUAUCUUUAUAGUUGCAUUUAUUUAUUUAAAGUUACGUCUUUCCAUUAUAUAAUUUCAUUGCAUUUUUUGUAUAGUUAGUAAUACUACGAAGUUUUUUGACAUCAACCAUUAGACUACAUAUCAAAUUGGUUUUAUUAACCAAAAUAACAACCUCAAUAAAUGCAUUUUGCACUUUGGGAACGGUUGUGUCUUUUUACCGUAACUUUCCGUUAAAAUAUUAACGGUUAUUUUUUCGGGUGUGUUUUUUAUCGUAACUUUUCUUUAAAAUAUUGACGUUUUUUUCAGUUGUGUCUUUUCAUUGCAACUUCCCGUUAAAAUAUUGGUUGUUACUUUAUUCGUUUCUGUCUUUUUAUCGCAGUUUUCCAUUAAAAUAUUGACGGUUAUUUUUUCUCGGUUGUGUCUUUUUAUCGCAAUUUUCCGUUAAAAUGUUGACGGUUAUUUUUUCUCCGUUGUGUCUUUUUAUCGCAACUCUUCGUUAAAAUAUUGAUGGUUAAUUUUUUAGUUGACGGUUAUUUUUUGGUUGUGUCUUUUUCUCGCAACUUUUCGUUAAAAUAUUAAUGGUUAUUUUUUUCGUUGACGGUUAUUUUUUUUGUUGUGUUUUUUUUCUCGCAAAUUUCCGUUAAAAUAUUGACGGUUACUUUUUCGUUUCUGUUUUUAUCAUAACUUUUUGUUAAAAUAUUGACGAUAUUUUUUUCUCGAUUGUGUCUUUUUUGUCUGUUAAAAUAUUGACGGUUAUUUUUUUCUCGAUUGUGUCUUUUUAUCGCAAUUUUUUGCUAAAAUAUUGACAGUUAUUUUUUUUCAGUUGUAUUUUUUUUUUGCAACUCUUCGUUAAAAUAUUGACGGUUACUUUUUUCGUUGGCAGUUAUUUUUUUGGUUGUGUCUUUUUAUCGUAACUUUCCGAUAAAAUAUUGACGGUCAUUUUUUUUGUUUGUGUCUUUCUAUCACAACUUUCCGUUAAAAGUUUGACGGUUAUUUUUUCUCAGUUGUGUCUUUUUAUCGCAACUCUUCGUUAAAAUAUUGACGGUUUUUUUUUUCGUUGACGAUUAAUUUUUUGGUUGUGUCUUUUUAUCGCAACUUUCCGUUAAAAUAUUAACAUUACUUUCCUCGUUUGUGUCUUUUUAUCGCAACUUUUCAUUAAAAUAUUAGCGGUUAUUUUUUCUUGGUUGUAUCUUUUUGUCCUAGCUCUUUGUUAAAAUAUUUACGGUUACAAUUUUUCAUUGAUGGUUAUUUUUUCAGUUGUGUCUUUUUAUCGUAACUUUCAGUUAAAAUAUUGACGGUUUUUGUUUUUUGUUUUUGUCUUUCUAUCGUAUCUUUUUGUUAAAAUAUCGACGGUUUGUUUUUCUCGGUUGUGUCUUUCUAUCGCAACUUUCCGUUAAAGUAUUGACGGUUAUUUUUCUCGGUUGUGUCUUUUUAUCGCAACUCUUCGUUAAAAUAUUGACGGUUAUUUUUUUCCGUUUGUGUCUUUUUAUCGUAAUUUUUUGUUUAAAUAUUGACUGUUAUUUUUUCUCGGUUAUGUCUUUUUAUCGCAACUCUUCGUUAAAAUAUUUACGGUUACAUUUUUCGUUGACAGUUAUUUUUUCUGAUGUGUCUUUUUAUCAUAAAUUUUCGUAAAAAUGUUGACAUUUACUUUUUUUGUUGUGUCUUUUUAUCGCAACUUUUCGUUAAAAUAUUGACGGUUAUUUUUUCUCGGUUGUGUUUUUUAUCGCAACUUUCCGUUAAAAUAUCGACGGUUAUUUUUUCUCGGUUAUGUCUUUUUAUCGCAACUCCUCGUUAAAAUAUUGACGGUUACUUUUUGUGUUGACGGUUAUUUUUCUGGUUGUGUUUUUAUAUCUUUUUGGUUUUGACCCGCAAGAAUUUUUCCUCUCUAUAUUAUAACUCUUCUUAGUUAUUUUGUCAUAUAUAAAUAAUUUUAUAUUCACAAAAAAUGUUUCAAAAGUGUUUUUUAAUCAUAAUUUUUUUUUUUACAUUUUUAUUCAUAAUUUUUUUUUAUAUCUUUAGACCCCUACCCUACGAUAUAACUUUAAGACAUAGUUAAUUUUAUAUAAUAAUUCAAUUAUUUGAAUAUAUUAUAAUAAUAGUUUAAUACAUAAACGUAAUAAAAUAUAUUUGUUGAAAAUGAGUUCCCCGCGAUAUCGCGGGGUUCAUAACCUAGUAUAUAUAAAAAAAAAAUUAAAGAUUUAAAAAUUAUUAUAAACCGCAAAAGACAAAAACUACCUCUACUAAUGAGAGCAUCGAUCAAUUUGUUGUAAUACUUUAUCCCCAAAUAAUUAAUCUCUCCAAAUCUUCCUCCUGUCUCACAAAUAAUAAGCUUUGGUUAUUUAAUAAGCUAAAUAACUCUUCGUAGAUUGAGUUUCAAUAUUUAAUUUAUCAACUCUGGUUAGUAUCUAAUACAAUCGAUUUUCUUAUUUAUCAUGCAAUGCAAUGUAGUAUUAAUAAUACUGCUGAUUUAAGUAAAGAAGGACUUACUAGGUAAGAUUCUACACCAAGAAAUUGAAAACCUAUAACUGAUCACUCCAAGGAAAGUCAUUAAUUGGAUGUCCUCCUAAGCAUAUAUAGAAGAUAAUAUUAAACAACAACAUCAAAUAAUUUAAGAAUAUAAUAAGAUAAAAGAACAAGAACAAAAAUAGAAUGAAAUAAUUAUCAUAAAGACAUCCCAAUUGUUCAAACUUUUUCCAUCAGUCAAGAACGCACCUUCAUACUAUUUUAAGAAAAAAACAAAACUUAAUAUUUAAACAAAUUACAUUUUGGAAUAGAGAUAGACUAAAAAAAAUCUUAUAUUAAAUCAUCAAUAUAAUGGGAAGAAAAAUAAUUACCUGGUUAGCUGAAGAAGCUGUACCAAAGAGAAAAUCAGAAAGAAAUAGAGAUGAAUCUUCUAAAAUGUUCUCUGGAUAACUUUGAUGAUGACCAUAAACAUGAAACAAUAAGCUUUGUAAUAAGAUAACUGAUGUGAGUCAAAUUAGACCUAAUACUACUCUCUCAAAUAAGAGAUCAAUUGCAGUACUUUAGGGUCGAAAUCCACGAAGCUCUCGUGUUCACACAAUAGAUAAACAUGUUUUGAAUUAAGCUAAACAAGUGAAGUUUGCAAAUUAAAGUAAAACAAGUAAUUAAAAUCGAGAAGUAAAUCAGAUGGAUGAAACGUUAGGCUUAGGGAAAUUCUCAGGAAAUAAACUAACAGUAAAUCUAGCAAAUUAAUUAUGAUUAUUAUCGAACCGUUCUAGAACUCAAAGCACUAAUAUAUAGCCAACCACCCUCUCGAAUGUGUUGACUAACUAAUCUAAUAUCAGGUAAUUCCACCCUCUCGAAUACGAAUUCCUAGAAUUAAACUAGUAUUAAUAACAGGUUUGAUAUGUUCACAGAUAUUCCUAGACCUCCUCUCGAAUGUAUCUAGUAAUUUCUGCCCACCUAAGAUAGUUCCAGUAAUAGAUGACCUCUCGAAUCUACCUAUUAUCUUAUGAUCAAAUUCUAGUUAAUUACUCUAGAAUUAGCAUUAAGAACAAUCAAAGAUGAAGAACUCUAAUGAUAUUAUCCUAACAUGUUAUCGAUCUACUAAUUCAUCUAAAUCCCUAAUGAGAAUCCCUAAUUCUAACAAGCAAACUACUCAGACAUGGAGAUUGAAACAAACAACAUGUUAUGAAUAGAAAGCAUACAUAAAUUCAAGAGAAGAAGUAAAAGAGUUUAAGAAAUCUUCUCUAGAGGGGAGCUCUCUCCAAUUAUCUCCCAAAGGGUUCAAGCACCAAAUAAUACAAUAGAAUAGGAUAUUCAGAGAUCUCAGAGAUGUCUAAAAACAAAACCCUAAGAAUCUAUUUAUAUGUUCUUAAAAACGUGUAGAGACUUCUUUGAAAAUAGGGAAAAGUUCUAGGGCGAUUCUGCAAAUCUUCAUAACUUCAAAAAGACGUGAAAUCGAAUUGUCGUCUGAUAUUGGUGUCGACCGACACUAGGGGUGGUGUCGAUCGACACCUACACGUAUUUUGGUCUCCGGAUUGCUCUUGCAGCAUAACUUCUCGGUUUUGCUCCAAAGUGAUCCAUAAUCUCCAAAUUAGUCCCGAACGUACAUAAACCUGAAAAUACUAGAAAAGACUCUACAAAUAACAAAAAGACUCUAAAAACAAUACCUAUAUCAUAGUUAAAAACGGUAAAAUCCAUGAUAUAUCAAUAACAACUACAAAACUGGUUAACGUUUUCAUUGUUCUUGAUUCUAUUGUGUGUCUUGAUAGAUCUGUUAUACUAUUAUAUAUAAAUGUACAUGUAAGAAACGUGAAAUAUUUUGGUCUGCAUUAUUGAGAAAAUGUCAAAUCUGUCUACUCUAUGUAUAUAUAUAAACGUCAAAGGUCACCAAGAAACCAACAAAAGUAGAUAAAAUGAGCAACGUCAAGAGUGGAGCCCAAGAGCUUAUUUACACGAUACCGGAUAAGUUUUGGGCCGAGUUUUAAUAGUCAUAAAAUCUGUGGCAAUUAGUUAUGUAUCCAUUUAACCUUUCUUGAAAUAAAGUUUGUGAUUUAAAUAAAGUUUGAGUGACUUUAAAUGUUAUGUAAAAUAUGUCGUUAUACAAUCAAGAUUUUUUAAAAGUUUGUUAAAGUUUAGUGAUUAAUUUAAAAUUUGUAAAAAAUAAUCAAAAAUCUUCAUAAAUCUGGAGUUAUUGGAUUCAUACUUUUUUAAAAUCAUUAAAAGUUUGUGUUAUUCAAUUAAAACAAAAGAAUCUAUGAUUGUUACUGAAUUAAAUUAUUAUGUUAUUGCUUUAUGAUUUUCUACACUUUUCUUCACAAAAUAAAGUCAUGAAAACUAUCAUCAAAAUAGAGAGAUUGUUUGGAAAACUUUACAAGAUUAUGAAAAAAAACUAAUCAACAAGAUUAUAGAAUUAAAACUCUCUAGCAAUAGUUUAAAAUCUUUCAUUUAUUUAUUUUCUAUGAUUUUAUUAAACUCAUCAAAAUUUCUUGUAAAUUAGGAACCAAUAACACCUCUAACUUAAUUGCCACCUGACGAUUUAAAUGUGGUCCAUGAGAAAAAAGAAAGAUUAAUUGGAUGCUUUUUGCUUCUUGUUUGUCACUUUCCUUCGUGGCGCAGUGGUAGGUGACGAUGGUCCUGAAUGGUAAGUUGGUAACAUAAUUGUAGAGUGAGUAUCCUAAUCAUGGUUUACCAACAUAUAGUAAACUGAUUUGAUAACCCGGUUUAUCGAAUGGUAGUUGAUGAAUCGUAUCAUUGCCAAAUCCAAUAGUAAACUGAUUUUGCAAUGAUGUGAUCCACCAACGGUUAAGAUGUGAUUAGUCCUUUAUGAAUUGUAGAUAACUCAAAUGAUAGUUACGAUUGUAGUACGAUUAGUUUUUUUUUUCAUAUUUUACAAAUUUACUCUUAAUGGUAUUUAACAAUUACUUUAAAUAUUAUAUUUAAUAGUUAAAAUAUAUUUUCACUAAUUUUAUGUCAAACAAAAAAACAAGAGGGACGUUUCGUUGUCUAGUCGGUGGUUCGUCGUUCGUUACCAAACCAAGAAUGGGUAAAGAAUAGAUUAUGUGAGUAAAGUUUGUCUUGCCAUAUAUAUCUUCAAUGGAUUACGAUGAUGACGAGGCCAGACGAGAUGUGAGCUCUCUCCAUCACGUCCAAUCAUGUGAAUGUAACUCUUUGGUUAUAGACUUAUAGUGAUUUCGAAUAUAUAUUCUUGUUGUGUUUAUCUUCUUUUAUAAAACAAAGCUUAUAGGGUAGUUUAUACUAUCCAAUAUAAAGAUUAUUAGAUUUGACACUCCAAAAAUUAUGUGAAAUUUGAAAUUACACUAAAUCAUCAAAUUUUGAAUUUUAAGUUACACUGUAUAUAAAUAUAAUAUUUAUUAUUCAUUCAAGAUUUUCGAUAUUUUCGUCUGGCAGUUGCUCCUUAAAAUCAGUAAAGAUUGUCCAUUUGAAAAUAAAAAUUUACACCACAAAGGAGAUUAGUUGAGAUUUGUACCAAUUUAACAUGCAGCAACUUGAAAUUUUUUAACAAAAAAAUACAUUCAGAAUCUCUGGACAAUUUUACAUUUUCAGUCAAAAGUCAAAACCUUAAAUAUUUUAUCAACGACCAACAACAAUUUCGCAACCUUGGAUAUAUGAUAUGUAUAAAUGUAUCAAUCUCAUCUGCCGACAAUAUUAGCAUAAAAUAAUGUGAAUUGGAAGCCGGAAUUGAUUUACGUACUCGUUUUGGGUGGGUGUCGUCUCACCAACUUCACUACAGUGUGUCAGUGACUACUGACUAGAUCGCAAAAAAUAUGAUCACAAUUUAGUAAAAUAUCAAACGCGCAUUAAGAUUUGAUUAUUGAGGAUGAUUUUCAGGCCACCAGAUCUGACCACGAAUCGUUUAAAACAGCUGACAAAAUACUCAGACCCCAGAUGACUAGUAUGUAAUGGGUUCUAGCACCCUAACCAACCAAAAAAAGGCUCCUACAACAAUGUAAAUGACUCAAUUCUUUUUAACAAAUUUUGGUGAUGGCUCACACUUUUUCCAUAGGAAUUGCCAACCAAGCAUUAAAUGCAUUGAUACAAAUAAACGCAUCCACAUAAUUGAAAUUUUAGAGAUAUGUGUCAAACACACUUGAGAUAAGAAGUUUUGCAUGCCGUAAAUAUUUUGCGGUCAUUGGAUUGUAGAUCCCUAGUACUAACGAUCAAACUUAUUAAAGAGAUUAAACUUAUUCUAGACUUCUAGUGAUAUCGUUUUGUUAGUGCUUGAGAAAGAUAGGAAUAAUGAUGUCUAGAGACUAGAAGGAGAACCUCUCCAUUUUAUUUUCAUUUACUUGACUAAACCUACCCACAAAAUGGAGACAGUGGCCAAGAAUAGACGAACUUAGAGAGUACAUGGACCAGGCCCAAUAGUGGAGUUUUCUAAUGUUCUUCUUGGGAUAAGAGAGUGGGUGAGAGACCAAUAUAGCUAACUAAGACCAAUUAUAAGGAAUGGAUUGAGUAGAUUUUUAUCCUAAUGGCCUAAUAUGAUAUGUAAAUAGGCCCGUAGAGACACACCUCAACAGUGAUUUCUCAAAAAAAAAAUUUUUUUAUAACUCAGAUGAUCAUAAAAGUUUCUUAGGCCCAUAAAGUAAUCUUUGGAUUAGAAGAAACCAUGUUAGAAUGCAAAUCUUGGUGGCCAAUGAUAUUCGAACCCAGGUGAACCAAAGAGACUUGCUUAUUUCUCAAAGUAUUUACACAGGCCAUAACUGAUAGAUACCUCAAAAAUAAUUUAGUAGAUGGUCUGAUCAAGAAAUUACUAUGGCUUAUUUAUUUAUUAUCAUCAUCCAAACAAAAUAAAAACAGAAGAGACAAUAAUACUUUCUAUAAUAUAUAGAAUUAGUCGGUCUUAUGCAGAAUCUAACAUGGUCAGCAACUUCAAGCUCCAGUUUCUUCAUAUCCAUUGACCGGGAAAAACACUUUCCGAUGUUGAUCUCACCGGAAUGUUCUCUCCUCUCCAGCUACUACUCUUUUGUUAGUUUUUUUUGUGUUUCAAAAUCAACCCAAAAAACUGCCUCUUAAACCAUCCUCACUGCUUCGCCUGCUCAAUGAUUGCAAAGAACAUAGGAACAACGUUAAUGAAAAGAUUAGAACUAGAAAUUAUUCACUUAAGAACCAAGUAGAGAACCCGAAAAGGGCAAUUUUCUGCAUUUUGAUUAUUUCAUCAAAGAACCAAAUAGUAAUAUUUCUCCUAAUAUCAUCAAAUGAUUUGGUAGCUAAACAAGAACAAAGUUUUGUUUGUUUACCUGUGAGUAGAGGAAAGUUCCAAGAAUCGCAAUGGCAGCACCGAGUGCAUUAACUGGUUGAAUCGGGGUAUGAAAAAUGAUGAUCGAUGCAACAAUGACGGAGAUCCGCUUCAUCGUAUUACCGAUACUGAAAGUCAACGGCGAAAUCUGGUCUAACGACAUGUAUGAGACCUGAUUGUACAAAUGGUAAAACACACUCUGUGCCACUACCCACCUGUUGAUUUAAAAAACAAACACAACACAUUAAGUACUUUCUGCAAAAGUUAAUAUCUCAAUAUGAUAUCAAAACAUGUUAGAAUCUUUUAUCUCAAGUUAGAAGGGAAAUAAAGCAAUAUAUACCAGUCCACUCAUAGACAUUUGAAUUGGAAGUCCCUGAAACUUAACAAACUAUUAAAUAGAAAUGAUUUGGUUUUAGUUCGUACCAGACAAAGUUUGGUCCGACUUGAGAAACAGCAUUUUGCCAACCAGCAGCCCACAUUUGAGGACCUUCGACAGCAAUAGCAAAUGGAGUGAGGAUCACAAGAGACAUCAUCGAUAAGCAAGCGUAGUAGUUCAUCCCGCUAACUGAUUUCCCUUUCAUCCCUUUCUUCGAAAAGAUAUUCCGAAACACAAAUGCCAAAUUCGAUAUCAUUGCCCCCAUAAACCCUACAAAAACAAACCACAAAGUUUCACAUAAGACCAUAAAUCAAAGAACUGUCCCAAUGUGAAUUCCAUUGGUUAUAGAAACCAAUCUUCUAGGCUUGUGAGUUUUACCAGUGAUGUUGAAGUUAAGCUCUGUGAUGGCGGCGAGAGCGCAGCCUCCGAUGAUUGGUAAGAGAGAGAGAUAGACAGGAAGAGGGAAAGUCUCUCCCAUGAAGAGUCUUGAGACCAAGACACUGAACGCUGGUUCACCACUUUUAAUGAUGUGUGUGAAGGAAACAGCUACCUUUGACAUACUCACUGUUGCUGCCACAUGUCCUAUGGUGUGUGCUAAAGCGACCUUGAAGAAGAAGAAGAAGCAAACAUCGAUCAAAAACAUUUUUCAUUACAAGACAACAAACAAGUUCCACCAUGUUCUGGUUUUUUAAUUUGACAGUCAAUUUCUAGCUUUGUCUAGCUCGAGCUCUCAAUCGUUAUUAAACAAAAUCCAUCAAGCAACAUCAUGAAAAACCCUAAACCAUUACCGGAAGACAGAGCUCAACAUCAGUUUCUUACCGGAAAACAGAGUAAAUCUUAAAUUCUUACCGGAAAACAGAGUAAAUCUUUAAUUCUUACCCGAAAACAGAGUAAAUCUUCAACUAUUACCGGAUACAGAGUAAAUACUAAAUUCUUACCCAAAAACAUAGAUCGAGAUCAGUUUUAUGCAAGAAAUUUGGCAGUAAAACACUAAAUUCUUACCGGAAAACAGAGUAAUUCCUAAGUUUUUACCAGAAAACAGAGUAAAUCCAAAAUUCUUACCGGAAAACAGAGCAAAUUUUAAGUUUUUACCGGAAAACAGAGUAUUCCAUAGAGCUCACAAUCGUCAGGAAAGAUGGAAAGGUUUUUUAUAAUUUCGUAUAAAACUAGAUGAAAUCCACCAAGCAACAAUUACGGGCAAGAAACCCUAAUUACUUACCGGGAACAGAGUUUUCCAGAAAUCGAUAUCAGUUUUAGGAGCAUCUGCUAUCCUAGUAGCCCAAGAGACAAGCAUCAUCAGAGAACCACAAGCGAGAGACAACGUCGAAGUAAGCCACGGGUAAGGAAAAGCAUUGAGGACUUUCUUGUUGUAGAUGUUGAAAACAACGUUAAGUGCCCACCAAGUCGCGAAAUAGAUUCCGAUUUUCAGUUUCUGCGCGGAUUGUUCGUCGGGAAGCUCGAUGUUGAUGUCGAGUGGACGAGAUCGAUCGGCCUCGUAAGCUUCGACUUUGACCUCACCACGCUUGAAAUUCAAAGUAGAUGAAAUGUGUAGAGGCUUUUGAUGCGAGACACUGGAGUUAAAGCUUUGGUUAUGGCAGGUUUUGAUGAUGGGUAAAGGAGAAAACUUGAGCUUUGUCGGAAUUGACCGCCUUACGCCUCCGGAGAUGGCGAUGGAGAUGGACGAUGAAGCUGGUUUGAUUGAAGAGAUCAUUGUGUGUUUUUCUUGUGGGUAAUUGAUGAAGACGAUGAUCUUGAGGUGGCUCCAAGAUUUUUAUCAGAGAGAGAAAGAGAGACUUUGUGUUGUUGGGGAAGUAGAAGAGGAAGAAGAAGAGAAUUUAUAGAAAGUUUGAGAACAGAGGAGGGAAAGGUUUCGUUUUGAGUGUAACGACAAGUUUUUAGAGUAUUCAGAUAUUUUUGUAAUACACGAAUAUACCCUUUAUACUUAUGGUUUGUGUAUGGGUAAUUUCGUCAAAAUAUCGGAGAGGCGGUGCAUGAGCUCAUUAAAGAUCAGUUUAAGGUUUUAAAAUUAAGUUAAGUAAAUCGUUUGAGGUUAUAUAGUAUUAACUAAUGAUAAUUUACUGGAAAAAAUCUAAUGUAAAUAUUUUUUUCCAUAAAAAUUGUUUAAAGUUUUAAGUUUUUUUAUACUCUUUCCGAUCUUUUAUAAGUGAUGUUUUAGGAGAAUGUAUAUAGAUUAAAAAAUCAUUUAAUUUUUAUUUAUUUCUAAACUAAAACAUCAUUUAUUAUCUAAUCAACCAAUAAAAAUCAAUUUACAGAAUAUAAAUCGUCAAAACCAAUAAAAAAUAAUUAAUUUUGCAUUAAAAAUAAAAAUAUCAUCAAUUUAAAAACAAAAUUAUAAAUUUAAAACAUCAGUUAUAAAAGAACGGAGAGAGUAAUUUAUAUUGUUUAUUCAAACGAUGUUAAACAAACUGUCUUCACUGCGAUCACUAAAAUCUAUGACUAUAAAGGGACCAAGUGUAAGGCUUUAGGUGUUACGUUACGUUAAGGUAGCAAAUAUCUAUUUUGAAAUAGUUAGUAUACACGUAUUCAAUUAUUAUCUUGAUAAUUUAUCAAUUUGUUUAAGAUUAAAUUGUAUACAAAAAAUAUGAAACGUUCAUUUUUUUGUUGUUAUUGCCUCAUAUGUUCAGACCAUAAGAUAUUAUAUAAUAAUGUUAUGAAUUUCUCUAAAAAAAGUUUAAAAUAAUAAUAAUUAUUAAUUUUAGGAUAUGAAUCAUAAAUUUGUGCGUUUCAAAAUUUUGAAGUAUACAAAAAUACAACAUUUCAUGUUUUAUUUUCCAAAAUUCUCUUCUAAAAUGGUUAGGAGAGAAUUUUAAACGGUUUAAUCUAAAACUGAGGAAAUAGUUUUACGAAUUUAGUUUGGGUUGGCUGAUUUUAUAGCCAUAAACUAGUUGCAUUCUCAGAUUUUUCCCCCAACCUUUUUGCCUCUGAAAAUUCCACCAUAAACUUAGAUAAUUCUCACAAUUGCAACAUGUACUUUCGGAUUCAUCUUUAAAACUACGCCUCCAAUUGAACCGGCCAAUAAACCGGUACCACAUAACCCGGUUUGAUUUAAUUCAAAUUUAACCAAAUUUAAACCUGAUUUUGACCCGAAUCUUCUUCCUCUUCACCCGAUUUUGACCAGAAUUUGUUUUCUUCUUUUUCAUCUUCAUUCCCAGAACGACCAAUAAUCCCAAAACCCAUCACAAUCAAAUUUGCAAUUAUUCUCCCAGUCUGUGAAAUAAAGAAAUAAACGAGAUAAAUCUCUCAAAAAAUAAAAACAGAAAAACUAGUUUGAUUGUAGAUCUAGAUAGAACAGUCCCCAAAUAAAUCGAAAAACCAAAAAUUUCAAACUAUUGUUAAAAACAAAAUUAUCAAUUCAAAGGAAGAACAAACGACAGUAGAAUUUGGUUUUGACUGGAGAAAAGGCUUGUUGGUGAAAUUCUACUUUUGAUUUUGACUUUUUUUCCGGCGAUGCCAACGCUGGUGAUUACGGCGAGAGAAUGCUUGACGGAGGAAGCUGCUCAUGCUCUCGACGAUGCUGUUGCUGUGGCUCGAAAAGGCUUGUUGGUGAAAUUCUAUUUUUGAUUUUGACUUUUUUUUCCGGCGAUGCCAACGCUGGUGAUUACGGCGUGAGAAUGCUUGACGGAGGAAGCUGCUCAUGCUCCCGACGAUGCUGUUGCUGUGGCUCGUCGGAGAAGCCACGCCCAGACGACGUCUCUUCAUGAAGAGGAAGAAGAAAAAAUAAAUCGGGUCAAAAUCUGGUGAAGAAGAAAAGAUUCGGGUCAAAAUCGGGUUUAAAUUUGGUUAAAUUUGAAUUAAAUCAAACCGGGUUAUGUGAUACUGGUUUAUUGGCCGGUUCAAUUGGAUGCGUAGUUUUAAGGAUGAAUCUGAAAGUACAUGUUGCAAUUGUGAGAAUUAUCUAAGUUUAUGGUGGAAUUUUCAGGGGCAAAAAGGUUGGGGAGAAAAGCUGAGAAUACAACUAGUUUAUGGCUAUAAAAUCAGCCAACCCAUUUAGUUUCGGCUUAGUAAUUCUUAAUAAAAUUUUAAAGACCCUCCCUAAUUAAAUACUAUAAAUUUUGCUAUAUUUUGGUACAUUUUCCAAAGUACUGGUAUUUUAAAAUAAAAUAAAAACUUGUCUUUAUGGUAUUUCUCUUUGAUUUUAUUUCAUGUUACUAUAUAAAAAAGAAUUUUCAAUAUUCAAGAAUUUUAUUUUCUCCUCCUUUACGGACUUACAAUAUUUCCAACCACGGUUUUGAUAUUCCUGCCAUCAAUGGUUGUCACGAAUCAAUGAGUAAUUUACAUGUGACAACUCAGUUUGUAAGUUGAGCUAUAAUCAGAACAUAAGUAUCAGUUCCAAGAAAGUAUUGAAAACGCUUUUUUAGUAUCUGAAAAUCUUAUAUCGUUAAUUACCAAAAUUCAUUUGUUGAAAUAGAUCGUCGUAAGCCAAAGGCAAUACAAUGAAUAAAGUUAAAUUUCAUAAUUAUUACUUAUCGUUUUGGCAACAAUAACACGAACAACACGAUGUAUCGUUUGUCAUUUUCAUUCGUCAUCGAUGCUAACGACAAUAAAAAGAACAGGAUCUAUAUAUAGUAUUAAUAUAUAAUAAUAUAUAUGUGUAUGUGUAUGUAAUGUUAAUUUGGACCGUUGAAAUAAAAGAAGCUCGGGUCACAUGUUGGACGUACAGGCUUCACCAUUGAUGUAACCUCGCAAAUGGAAUUCUCACCGUAGAAAAUAUCACAAGAGGAAAAUUACAAAACAUAACAAAGUUGUUGAACACAUGCAACUGUCAUUACACGACAAACUCUCUCUCUUCACCAACACUGAUUCAUAGAACACAUAUGUCCAUUUGCAUGUGUAUAUGUGUGUGUUUAUAGGUCAGGUAAUAAAUUUGGUUCAUAUUCGACGGCUAGGAAAAUUUUCAGGAAAGUUCGUAUAAUAUUGGGGAAAAUCAACGAUUCAUCAGAAAUAUCGCUUUCCAAAUUGUUCACUUGAUGGAUUUUUCUGCAUGCGCGCGCGGUUGCUCCGUGAAAUAUGAGUCGUUGAUUCAUUUUACUAUUAGACAUUGAAAUCGUCAUGAAUUGGUAAUACAAUAGAGUUAUUGUUCAUCGUUUACCCAAUGUUAAUUAAAAUUGUUAAAACAACUCAGAUGAUAAGGGGAAAAAUUACCUUUCUAAGAAAUAAAGAAUUCAGUUUCACAAAAUAAAAAUUAAAAUAAAAAUAAAAGAAUUCUAAAAACACUCCAUUUGUAGAUUUUCUCUUAAACAAUUAACAAUAAUUUGUAUCUGUGUUUAUUACUCCAUUUCUCUCAUUUUAUAAGAUGUUUGAUUAAUAUGUUUUUUUUUGUCUACUUUAUAAGAUGUUUCACAAAUUUUUUAUAUUGUGAUAUUUUUGACGAUUUAAAUUUUGCAGUCUUUUUAUGAUUGGUUGAUUUUUGUUUUUUUUUUAAUUAUCAAUUUAUGGUUAGUUUUAAAAAAGAGUUUCUUAAUCUUCACAUUUUUAUCUAAAAUAUUUUAUAUUUUGAAACAUAGGGAGUACAAUAUUCUAGAAGCAGCGUAAGACUUUUUAAUAUAAUUUGUAAAUAUUAUUUCUUAACUUUUAUUAUUUUUACUGUUAAAUUUUAUAAAUUGUAAUAUUCUUAGGUUUAUAAUGAUCAAACCUAAAAAGAUAAAUAAAAAAAGUUCAAAGUUCAUUUAUCUCAUUGGCAACUGGACAACACCAACUAUUGAUAUUGAAUCUCAAGUCGUUUUCGUUGAAACUAGAACUAGGAGAGUAGUCGGGCUACGCCCGGAUAUAUAUAUAUAUAUAUGAGAAUUGACAUUUUUUUAAGUUAGUUUACUUAAUAUUUAUUUUUUAGAUUCUUUUGUAUGUAAUGUUGUUGCAUAAUCAUGUGAACAAAAGAAUUGUUAUAUACAAUUUUUAAUUAAUAUUAUCUAGAGUUUUUAUUUACAAAUUAAAAUUCAGUAGUUGUGUUUUGUCUCAAAGUAGUGGUUUUGGCAAAGUAAACACAAAUCUAGAAAGUAUAAAGUUGGGAGCCCCAAAAAGUAACUACUAUAUGCGAUGACGAAUUGACGAUAUCUACACUACAUAACUUAAUUUUUUUUUUUUGUCAUCUGAAAAAUAUAUUGAAAUCCACAAGGGAAUCGUCUUCAGGAUAUACAUCGAAGCAGUCACCCACAGGACUGAGACAACCUACUUACAUAUCUUAAAUAUUCCCAAGUAAAUUGUAAGGAGCUUAAAAAUAAAACUAUAGGGAGUCGAUAACAAAUCACAUUAUAUUUGUUCUACAAAGUCACUUCCAAUGUUUCAUCUUUGACCAUCUUUCUCCUCAUUAUCCUUUUUUUUUUUUUUUAACUUUAAAUUUCCAUUAAUUAAAAGAAACAAAUUACAAGACCCAAAGGCCCAAACAAGGCACGCAGGCCCAACAUACAUGACAAAAGCCGAACCAGGCACGCAGGCCCAACAUACAAGGCAAAAGCCGAAGGGACUCGCACGCCCAAGAAGGAGGAGGAGACUGAAGCACAAAAGCUAACAGGCCUAAAGGAAAUCCCUGAGGCCCAAAGAAGAAACCACCUGAGACAGAGAAGGGAAAAGAUCACUAGAAGAUGGAAAACCAUGUAGCUAACAGAGUUAACGCCGGUGGGAUGGUAGGCUGAUCUCUAGAAAGAGGAUCGAGUCGCGCUCUGACUAACACUUUUAUUUCCUUGAUGAUCACAGCAGCAGUCCUAGGAGUAGCGAGGUGAAUCCGUUGAUUCCUCUCACGCCAAAUGAGAUAGAUAGAUGCUUGGUAGAGCAAUUUGAGGAUUAAAGCAACGUUCUUGUUCCUCGAGGAAGUUUUUAGCCACAAAAGGCAGGCCAUGAACUGAGGUGGCGGUUGGUGAUUAGUUCUUUGGGUGAAGUGAAGCCAGAUUUCGUGGCUGAAGCUGCAUUCAAAGAACAAAUGAUCCCUGGACUCGUUCUGGGAGUUGCAGAGGAUACAUAUGGCAGGGACAGCAAGACCCCAUCUUCUCAAUCUGCUCAUUAUCCUUUGAGCCACAAGUUAAUACAUAAACAAACUAAAAUAAAAAUGUUUGAACAACUAUUCUGGAUAAGAGUUUACCCGUCGUUAAAAGUGGCAGCUAUAACCUCUACAAUGGAUACUCAUGCUUUUCUUCAUAGGAGUGGAAACCAGUGCAAAAGUUGAGAAGCAUAUUUGACCAAUAAUCCUCACCCUAUGAUAUGUCUCUUCAUUAAGUUCUAAGACGUUGUGAUUCAACAGAAAUUUCAGAUAUAAGAAUUGAUAUGAUUCAGUUUUGUUGUUUUACUUUUGAAUUUUUUUUUUUUUUUUUGUCAACAACUUUAUUAGAUUAGCUUAAAAAAGUCAAUUCUGAAGGAUAUUGUUUACAUAGGUAAUAAGAUGCGGUUGAGUACGCCUUUUGAUCUAGUAGAUAAGGAAUUGAUUAAUAAUUUUUUUUUUAUCUAAGCGUUAGUGGAAGGUGGCUGCUUGAAAAUGGAUUCCAAUGUCUUCAGAGUUUCCAUCUUAGCCGAUCAAGAUCCUUUGCAACAUGGUCAUCUUUUGACACUUCUUUUUUUCUUUCUUUUUUUUUCUUUAUUGCAACAUAGACCUAGUAAAAGAUCGAAGAUGAAAGAAGUAUCUUAACCACAAAGCUUAACUGAGAUAGGGAAUUCAAAUUGAGUGUCGAGUUUACAAUAAGUAUGAGGGACAUAAGGCUCACACUGAGUGGCUACUGUUAUUUCCCCUAUGGUUUGAGAUGUGAAACAUAAUCGAUUGAUUCCAUUGAUUCCGUUCAGCUUCAAUCGUCUGUUUGUGUUGACAUCUCAAAAAUGUAAGUCAAGGUCCACUUUCAUAACAUAGAUUAAUUACAUAGACUAACCUAAGCAUUUACCUUGUUUUUGUUUUGUAUCUUAUAUAUAUGAACGCAAAUCAGUUGCAAGAUUCCAUCAAGGACAUGGAAUUCUUCAAAUAGGGAGAUCAGAUACAAUUAAGACCUGUAAAAGAAAGAAGACUAAUUAAAAACAUACCAUUUUCACAAAUAGUGACCGGGAGAUUUUUUUUGUGCAUGAUUGAUCACUGGAUUUAUAAGGACAUAAACAUAAAUUUCAUUGAUAUCACCUCACUUUUUAGUACAGUGAGACAAAAUCUGAAGCAUACAUAUCAGUGAUAGAGUUAGAAGGCAUGGACUCACGACUCUGUGGAUAUGCAAAUCAGAUUCACAAAGAGUAACAUCCCAACAUGUAGAAGUAGGGGAUACCUUCUUAUUUGAUAAGUAAGAAAACCUGAAUAAUUUUAAUGAAAACCCAUGAAUAAAACAGAACAAAAAAAGGAAGAGAGUAAACUUAUGCUCUUUCAUCUUCUGGAGAAAGGAUCCAUGGAGGAUGUCUUUGAGUCGAAGGAUCGUUAAGAAGGUCGAAGUUGUUGAAAAUCAUUACCGUAUGGUCUCUCUGGACGCCGAUCACAGAUCCGUAAGCCCUAGGGUUCUGCUAGAACAUUCUUUUGUAGCUUUUGCAGAGCCAUUCUCGUUUGCGCAGGAGGAAGCUGGAGGAUUAACCCUAAAAUUUAACCGAUGAUUACCAUAGAUUUGACGGUCUUUAAUAGAUUUGACAUAGGUGAAGGAGUCUUGAUGAAUUUUAAGAAGAAAAGUAAGAAGGUCAUGAGGCGUCGUUUAGAUGAGAAAAUACAAACGUUAUAUUUGAGGCUUGCAACACAUAAUCUCAAUUAGUAGCUUGGAUUUUCUUAUGAUUGUGAUUGGUUUUUUUUUUUUCUUUAAUUAGAUAGCUGACGUGGCAUAUGGAGAGAUUGAUUUUGAAAAUCUGACGUGGAUAGCUUGAGAAGUCUCAAACAAUUCUUUUUAUGAGUAAGAGAUGUAUUAUAUAUCCUGCUACCAUUCUCUUUUUCUUCAACAGUGAGAAGUAUAGUAACUAAAAAGGUAUGGGCCUGAUGAGAAGAAAAAAGGUAUGUGCCUUAUGGCAAUAUAUGAGAAUUGUUUUAAAUAAGUUUUGCAUUUUAUGGUCACUUAACAAUAUCGUUUCCAUUCCUUCUUUGCUACUACUUUAUCUACAAAUUCGUUACGUAGGUUUAACACUAACAAAUUCCUAAUAGACACAGAUAUUAAUAAAUGGGCCGGAUCAUAUAUGCUAGACAAAUGUUUAGACAAAUGUUUACGAGAAAAUUUUCGUAAAAGGUACCUUUUGAAACUAUAAUUUGUGAAAUUAGUGAAACCAUUCCAAUAUCAUUGCAAAGACAAUAUGAAAAUUAAUUUGUACACACUUCUGAAAAGACAUAUCUCGAAUGAAAACAUUAAGAUUGAUAUCUCACUAUAUGCUCUAUAUAUUAUUAUAUAAACAAUGGCAUGGGAAAUUGAAAUGAAAAAUAAUUAAGCAAGGACCUUGCUUGAUCUUGAGAAUCUUGGUGACCAUGUAUUACACAAUAGAGAAGCUUUUAAAGAGAGUUUCUUCUUUAGGUUUUGUUUUGGUGAUUCUCUUUCCAUUUCUUUGCUGCUUUCAACUUCUCCAAAUGCCUCCAUCGCUGAUUUCAAAUCUAUAUUUCUAAAACACAUUUCAUUAGGAUUUAUGUUGUCAAAGAUUUAUAUUAGUUUUAUGCAUCAACCAAUCAAGUAAUACAUUUCAAUGAGGAGUAAUAAUAUGUGGAAAUCAUUUUCUUAUUAUUGACAGAAAGUUAAAUAUAAUAGAGAAAAAAAACACUUGCCUUGAAAUGGCCACGAUGAGUUUGGCUCUAAAACGUUGUUGCUCGUCUUGAAUUCAUGUAGCUGCAAAAUUCCAUUAACCGGUUAAAAUCUAACCAAAAUCGAUCAGUCGUUUUAAUGUUUUUUGAUCAUCUGAUUUAUUGAAUCAUCGAAACAGAGUAGAAAUGAUGAAAUCCAUAGAAACAGAGCACAUCAACGUUGUAACUAAAAAAACCAUUGUUUCUAAUUGUUUCCAAAAAAAAAAAAAUUCUUACCCAACUAGGUGCACUACUGGAUGAACUAUCCCAACCGAUAUGUGACACGUGUCGAACAUCAGUCGGAUAACCAAUUUCCAUCUCUUCCUCCUCCUCCACAUCUACAAAAUUUAAUCCAUUUUUGUAAUCAUUAGAAUGCAUUUUCAUUUCCAUUUAAAGAUAAAACUAAACAAGAUUAGAAGUUUGAUCGAUUUACCAAAAAUGUCGGAGAAACAUUUGAAGCUCUUGUUAUAAAUCCCUUUGAAUCUUGUAGCCAUGCUCAAAUCAAACACAACAAUAAAAAUAUUUCUACUUAUAUAAAGAACCGAAACACUACUAUAAUAAUGUUAAAAAGAACAAAAUAAAGUUUGGUAUAGAGAGCAAUGAAUCGAACAGAAGAAAAGAAACAGAAAUGAUUGAAGAGGAUGAUGAAAAUGAAGAAGAAAGAGAAAGAGACAAAAUACUCUUUCGUUUGAGAUUGGAAUAGUAUUUAAAGACAAAUAAAAAAUGGAAGGAGACAUGAAAGAGUAGUGGUAAUAUAUAAAUAAAUAUGAAGGUAUAUAUAUUCUUGAUCAAUUAUUGGAGAAUAUAAAAUUUGUAUAUAUUUUAACGGAAAACUGAAAAACGAAUAUCUUAUCCGACCAAGGACAAGGAGAAUAGAGUUUUCAGUUUUGUUUACCGAUGUUAUGUAUGAGACAAUAAUUAAGUAAAUUAGUUAAAGGUUUAGGUAAUCCAUUCCACGAGUUUUAGCUCAACUACCAAUUCCAUCCGUUUACUAGUUACAUCCACUCCAAUACAACUGUUCAAAAAUUGGACUAGAAUGGGUUUACGAAUUUAAUGAUUUAAAUCUUAAAUCUAAAUUGUCGUAAACGAUUAGAGAAAAAAAAAAAAAAGAUAAACAGAAGAUUUAUAAUGAUUCGUUUUAAUGUGUUGUUUCACUCCACAAUUCAACAAAAUGUUAGCUUACUCAUACCGUGACGAUCAUAUUUUAAGAAUAGACAAAAUUUCAGUGGCGUUUAAGCAGUAUAUUUUGUCUAAAUGGCAUGUAAGUGGUCUAAGCACUCUAGGUAUUUUCCUCGUCUAAUACAUACUUUUAUAUGUAUAAGUAAAUGUUACGUAUGCCUGCCUAAUUCUUCAAAGGUUUUCUUUCAAUUAUAAUACUGGAUUUGGACAGUAUAACAACUAGAAUUUGGAGUUGAAAAAGUAAGAAAUUAAUAGACUAAAAAAGUGAAGCAAACUUUUAUCCUUUUAACUAAACAAAAUAUCUUUUAAUAUAAAAUACAAUCAUUUGUUUUCCUUAUAACUUUAAAGAUGUAGUUAAUUAAUUAUCUUAUUUAAAAAUCAUGAUAUAUCAUUAAUCUUAUAUUAUAAUGUAUCAUAUAAUAUUUUCUUAUAACUUUUUAAACUGCUUAAAAUUGUUUAUAUUUUGAUUAAGCAUUUAAACUAUUUGUAAUGUCCUCAUGACACAUAGCGUUUCUUAACAAAAUUACAAUGAGUCCCACACAGCUGUGGUCCAGUGGUAGUUGAGAAUGGGAAAAUGUUGGAAAGAACUAACCCAGGUUCGAUCCACGCUAGAAACAAAAAAAAAACAUAUUUGUGUGGGAAGUCUGAACUUGGGCCAAAAGUCCAAAGCAGUUUACCUGGUACUCUAGUAACAUGCGAUCUGGCUACCCCUGGCAUUAGUCGGAAAACAUUCCAAACUCGGGACAGACAGUGUGGUGACUCUUCGGGGAAUAGUCCACUCUGAAGCACUUCAGUGCGUUUCUACCGGGGCUGACUGGAUCAGCCGAUAGGGUUUAUCAAAAAAAAAACAAUUACAAUGAGUGUGAAUUUGUUAAUGUAGUUCUUAGAAUAUAUUUUUUUAUAAACCAAAAAUAAAUAUUGUGGUAGAAUAUUUCAUAUAGAAAAUGAAUAUGGAUCCUAAUAUUUUGACCCAAAAUCAUUUAUAUUUCUCUAAUGAAGUGGUCUCAUUCUGGGCUCAGAAAGAGGAUUCAUAUAGUUCACAAAAUAAAAAAAUGAGGGUUCAAACCUUGAUAUGGUUUAAUGCCAUGAAGGAAAGAUAUGAUCGAAUCUUAGCCAUUCGAAGAAAUUAACCACCAUAUAUAGUGGUUAACAACUAGUGUAAAGGUCUCUUGGUUUUAUAAAAUUGGUUCAACGAUAGUAUAAUUUUCUCGCCUUUGAUUAAUUUUCAUUCAUCAACUAAACCAAUAUGACAAUAUAUAUGCAAUGCAAUCAAAGAUUUGGUCCAACAACUGGAAAAACUAUAGUAAUCUGAAAAGAUGAUGGGAAAAAACUAGAAUAACUGAUUUAUAUUUAAGUACAAUUACAGUUUCGUAAGUCUUCACUUAAUCUAUAGUAACUGGCUAACUGCAUAAUAGAUGAUUAUUUAAAGAUAUAAUUAAAUUAAAUUUCUAAUGCAAUAAAUCUUGGGGGUUUUUCAAAUGAUUUGCUAGCAUUUGAAGAAAAUAAGAUCCACAAAUCUAAAACAGACAAAAAAAUUGGAAGUUAACGGAUAAAGCUAUCCGAGCAUUAAAAAACAUAAAUUCCAAAUCAUAUGAAUUUUUAUUAUUCACAAUUUUCAAAUACAUGCCUCUAAACAUCUUUACUUUAUGCUAAAGUAGUUAACAAAAGACUUUGCUUUGAUUAACAAUAAUAACUAAUAAAGCUGUCAUUUAUUAUUAUAUUAAGCAUAACUAAUUAAUGACUAAUAAUAUAUUCAUAAUCCAUACAAGACGCAACAAAAAAAUUCUAUUGCUGUCAAAUCAAAUGAUUAGCCUUAAUCUUUUCUAUAUAGAUUUCGAAAGCUACACAUAUUGAGUUGUGGCCUUCACGUUUUCAAGAUAUAUGUGUGUAUAAAUUUUAUGUAUAUGCAAUCGUCAUUGUCUUAAAUUGUAAUAACAUACAAUGUGACUGUGUGAGACAGGCUGUGUGUUUUUUUUUUUUAUGUAGGUUGAAAAUUUGUGCUUAGUCACUUUCAAGACACCUCGUGCCUUUGGGUUAAAUCCAUUAUUCCCGUAGAAAAAUUUUAAUUUUUAAAUAUUUAUUAGCCUAAAUUUUACUACUUAAAUAGUAUUUUUGAAAUUUUUGCAAACCUUAAUUAUGGUAGACUAGUGAUUUUUUUGUUGUGUUAGUCAAGAAUUAUCAAUUUAAAUUUCUACUACAAAUUAAAAAUUAGCUUAUUUUUUAAACUCCCAACUAUCAAAAUUUUUUAGUUAAACAUGUCUAUCCGAAAUGAUAUAUUGAUAUGAAACCUAAAAUAAUAUAUAUGAAAUAUAGACCAAUUUACUAGUGAUCAAUUAAUUUUCAAAUUGUAAUUCCAUUAAGGGGGGUGUAUUGAAUUAAAUAUUUGGAAGGGUUUGGUGGAAUUUCUAUAUUUUAGGUUUUGGAGUGAUUUGAAUAAAAUUUUAGGAUGGUUGAGUUGAUUUGUUUGUUUUUUUUAAAAAAAAAACAAAAAUCAUUGUUGGGGUCGGAUUUCAUCCAUCCUUUGAGACCGAGCCAAACUUCAACACCUCGGGUUAUCCUGCUAGUCAGCUCGGGUACCCUGCCAGUCAGUCUGCCAGUCAGCUCGGGUAUCCUGCCAGUCAGUCUGCCAGUCAGCUCGGGUACCCUGCCAGUCAGUCUGCCAGUCAGCUCGGGUACCCUGCCAGUCAGUCUGCCAGUCAGCUCGGGUACCCUGCCAGUCAGUCUGCCAGUCAGCUCGGGUACCCUGCCAGUCAGUCUGCCAGUCAGCUCGGGUACCCUGCCAGUCAGUCUGCCAGUCAGCUCGGGUACCCUGCCAGUCAGUCUGCCAGUCAGCUCGGGUACCCUGCCAGUCAGUCUGCCAGUCAGCUCGGGUACCUUGCCAGUCAGUCUGCCAGUCAGCUCGGGGUACACAGUCAGCUCGGGGUACACUGCCGAGCCUUAUACUGCAGUUACCCCGAGGCAAAGUCUCAGUGCUACCCGAGGCUCAGUGCUACCCGAGGCAAAGUCUCAGUGCUACCCGAGGUGAUAUGUGUAUUGUUCCCGAGGCAAAGUCUCAGUGCUACCCGAGGUGAAAUGUGUAUUGUUCCCGAGGCGAAGUCUGCAAAGUCACCCGAGGCGAAGUCUUCAUCAUCACCCGAGGCAAAGACUUGAUAAAUAUUCAUCUUCAAAGUAUCAUUUCCAAACAAGGCAUCAUUUCCGAAGGGUCAUUUCCGAUAAACCCGGAAAUGAUAAAGGAGAAUCACGAAGGAUCAACUUAAAUCAGGAAAUCUUCCAAAAAACUCCGAAGAAUAAGGAAAUUAUCCUGAUCCGCGAUAUUCUACACCGACUUCAAGAUAAAUGGAAAUCUUCCGAGAAUAUCGCUGGAGAGGCGGUUUAUCACCCCUAUAUAAAGAGACUCAAGGCUCUCACAGAACAAAAAGCAACAUCGCUCUAGAAUUUACACUACGCAAAGCUCUCACAGCACAAACAUCUUUUUCCUUUUACGAUCAAACUCUUGUACGAUCAAAGUCAUCUUUUUCUUAAUAAUAUCAAGAACACCAUCUUUGGUUACAAUCGUUUCUGUUGUUCUUUGAGAAUUCACGAUUAUCGUAUCCCUAAAAUAAAACCCUAGACAAAUCUUGAUUGUGUUAGUUUCGACUUCCACAGUUUGGCGCCGUCUGUGGGGAUUACUUUAGAAUUCUCUUACCCUAAGAACGCGAGACUCGAAUACCAGAGAGGAUGGUAAACGAAGACGAUCGUCAGAUACCGCCAGCCAGAGGAGGGAACCCUAAUGCUCUGAACCCUCAGAAUCCUCAAGCCGAUCCGACAAUCUUAGCAGCCCUAGCCGAACUGAAGGAUAUGAUGGUUAAAUUCCAGAAGAAAGCUGACGAUCAAGAGAAAGCUAACAAAACCUUGGCGCAGCGAGUCGACGAAAUCGCAACACGUGGGCAACAAAAAACCACGCGUUUCCAGACUCGGCCGCCACGAGCUCGGAGGGACUUGCCUGGCAUCAACCCAACGAGACUCACGUUCGCGACACCAACCGGCAACACCGGAGUCGCAACCCGAGCCGACCCUGCCAGAUGCGAGAACCAAGAUGAUCCCACCGAGCCAGACGCAGUGGACUUGACGGACGAGCCAGAUGAUCUGCAAGAUGAGCGUACCCGAGCCGGAGCUAACUCCGCCGAGCGAACAGAUCUCACUGACGAUGAAGAAACUGAGGAGAACGUAAGAUGGGCCGAAGAAUCCGAAAGGGAGGACGAACUCAGCAAGAUCCGAGCCUCCCUAGCCAAGGCGGAAGCUGAUAUGAAGCUCGUCAAAACCCAGAUACAUAGCGUUUCAUCCUCUGCACCAAACAUCGACCGAAUUUUAGAAGAAUCUCGGAAUACGCCCUUCACCAAAAGAAUUUCCGAAACGACGAUGUCCAAUCUGGGGAAGUUCAAAAUCGACUCCUACAACGGAUCAACCAACCCGAAGUGUCACAUUAAAUCUUUCGUGAUAUCCGUAGCCCGAGCCAGGUUCAAGCCCGGGGAGAAGGAUGCAGGUCUAUGCUUGCUGUUCGUGGAACACCUCAAAGGACCCGCAUUAGAGUGGUUUUCUAAAUUGGAACGAAACUCGAUUGACAGUUUUGACAAGCUGUCGACACUAUUCCUCAAACAAUACUCCGUCCUCAUCGACCCCGGAACCUCCGACGCGGAUCUGUGGUCCCUAUCUCAACAGCCCACCGAACCGUUGAGAGAUUUCCUCACAACCUUCAAAUCGACGCUAGCUAAGGUCGAAGGAAUUACAGAUGUAGCCGCUCUUUCGGCUUUGAAGAAAGCUCUCUGGUACAAGUCAGAAUUCAGAAAAGAGCUGAACCUAUCCAAACCUACUACAAUUCGCGACGCGCUGCACCGAGCCUCAGAUUUCGUCGCCUACGAAGAAGAAAUGGAGCUACUAGCGAAGAGACACGAGCCGACAAAGCAAGCAUCCCGAACCGAGAAAGCACAAACAGGACUGCAGAGCCAGAAGAAGCCGGAUCAGAGUGAAACGUACACGCACUACGAGGGGCACGAUUUCUCAGGAGCCCACAACUAUCAAGUCGACGUAGGCCGUGGGCAAGGAAGAGAUUCAUUCACUUGGAAAAGAUGUCAACCCCCAGGUGACGAAAAAGAAUACUGCGAGCAUCACAAGACCAUCGGGCAUCACACUUCCAGAUGCAGGAGCCUCGGAGCAAUAUUAGCGGCCAAAUUUCUAGCCGGAGAGCUUGGGACGAACAUAACCCUCAAAGACCUACAGCCAGAACAAGUUCAGCCCGAACAGGUGGACACAGCAAGGGGUCCCGAGCCAAGGGAGCCAGAGGCUCCGAAGAGAGUCCGGGGAACACCCGACGAGGAGCGUGACGGAACACGACAAAGAAUCUACAUGAUAAUGGGAGGAUCAGCGUUUUGCCCCGACACCGUAGCCGCGAUCAAAGCCUAUCAGAGACGAGCCAAAGCGACCGAUGAGCCUGAGGUAGAGAUGACGAAUCCUAACCCCAUUGCCGUCACAAUUGGUUCCGAGGAGGCCGAGACUAUCCCAGUUGUGGAAACACCUCAGGAAAUACUACCGCUAAAAACCUAAGGUACGCAUAAGCUUGAACUACGGGGUGGCUUGAUCCCCGAAAAGGGUACGUAGGCAGCUCGUCCUCGGACGAGUUCAGCUACCUCCCCUUAUCAAAAAGGGGGGGGGAGAGUGGGGUCCGUAUAUCCAUACUCCCACUCAAACUUUAUCAAUUAUAUGUUUCCUAUACUCCUAUUCAAAUUUUAUCAAACUAUAUUUCUAAGUAUACACUUCGGGUUUUACUAAACCUACCUCGGUCUUUACCCCGAAACUCGCCUCGGGAAAUCAACACGGUCUAAACUCCGUUCUGUUCGUUUGGGCGAUGGCCACGCCCGCGAACUAAAUUCAUCUACACCUCCACGGUUACAGCGCGCUAUAUAAGCAUUCGAGACAAUCUGGUCGAAGAUAUCCGACCAAAGAUGAAAUUGUCUUCAGAAACCCCAGUAAAAUCUUAACACUGGUGCCCCAGUUCGCUUCUAAGCACUGGUUAUCGAUUGAAUCGAAUCGGGUCGCGACCGUGAACGUUCAAAUCUUUCUGCUAAAACCCAGUUUAUCUUAACAUUGGUACCCAUCUUUCGCUCCGGCUGCUAAAACCCAGUUUAUCUUAACACUGGUACCUAUCUUUCGCUCCGGCUACUAAAACCCAGUUUAUCUUAACACUGGUAUCUAUCUUUCGCUCCGGCUACAUAAAUUCUUUUUUACUUAGGACAAAAAGAUGUUUUGAUACGGAAACUAUUCAAAAUCAUUGUAUUCUCUUCGAAGACAAGGAUCUUUGAAAAUAGCGUUUGUAUUUACUUUGCAAAAAUACAACGACAAAGUCAUCCAUGCACAAUCUUACACUACAACCAAAAAGGAAGAAAAAGGAUGGUUCUAAGAGUGCCGCCUCAGGUUCACUGGCGACUCGAAGCAGAAGUUAACAUCUCGGUCGACUCAUUCAUGAAGCUCGUCACACUUGCUCCCAAGUCAACGAGCUGGGGGGCUAACUGUUGGGGUCGGAUUUCACCCAUCCUUUGAGACCGAGCCAAACUUCAACACCUCGGGUUAUCCUGCUAGUCAGCUCGGGUAUCCUGCCAGUCAGUCUGCCAGUCAGCUCGGGUAUCCUGCCAGUCAGUCUGCCAGUCAGCUCGGGUACCCUGCCAGUCAGUCUGCCAGUCAGCUCGGGUACCCUGCCAGUCAGUCUGCCAGUCAGCUCGGGUACCCUGCCAGUCAGUCUGCCAGUCAGCUCGGGUACCCUGCCAGUCAGUCUGCCAGUCAGCUCGGGUACCCUGCCAGACAGUCUGCUAGUCAGCUCGGGUACCCUGCCAGUCAGUCUGCUAGUCAGCUCGGGUACCCUGCCAGUCAGUCUGCCAGUCAGCUCGGGUACCUUGCCAGUCAGUCUGCCAGUCAGCUCGGGGUACACAGUCAGCUCGGGGUACACUGCCGAGCCUUAUACUGCAGUUACCCCGAGGCAAAGUCUCAGUGCUACCCGAGGCUCAGUGCUACCCGAGGCAAAGUCUCAGUGCUACCCGAGGUGAAAUGUGUAUUGUUCCCGAGGCAAAGUCUCAGUGCUACCCGAGGUGAAAUGUGUAUUGUUCCCGAGGCGAAGUCUGCAAAGUCACCCGAGGCGAAGUCUUUAGUGUCACCCGAGGCAAAGUCUUCAGAGUGACCCGAGGCGAAGUCUUCAUCAUCACCCGAGGCAAAGACUUGAUAAAUAUUCAUCUUCAAAGUAUCAUUUCCAAACAAGGCAUCAUUUCCGAAGGGUCAUUUCCGAUAAACCCGGAAAUGAUAAAGGAGAAUCACGAAGGAUCAACUUAAAUCAGGAAAUCUUCCAAAAAACUCCGAAGAAUAAGGAAAUUAUCCUGAUCCGCGAUAUUCUACACCGACUUCAAGAUAAAUGGAAAUCUUCCGAGAAUAUCGCUGGAGAGGCGGUUUAUCACCCCUAUAUAAAGAGACUCAAGGCUCUCACAGAACAAAAAGCAACAUCGCUCUAGAAUUUACACUACGCAAAGCUCUCACAGCACAAACAUCUUUUUCCUUUUACGAUCAAACUCUUGUACGAUCAAAGUCAUCUUUUUCUUAAUAAUAUCAAGAACACCAUCUUUGGUUACAAUCGUUUCUGUUGUUCUUUGAGAAUUCACGAUUAUCGUAUCCCUAAAAUAAAACCCUAGACAAAUCUUGAUUGUGUUAGUUUCGACUUCCACAAUCAUUAGUGAUUUGGUGAGACUUAUUGAAAGAAUUUGGGAGAAUUUAGUAAAAAAGAAAAGAAGAAGUCAACGACUCAUUCCUCUUUUUUUUUAAUAACUAUGUUUUUCUUUUUUAUUAUCUUCUCCUUUGCCAAACGUACGGUGUGUCACAUGACUCACAUUUUUUUAGACGUAUCUCUACCUCUGGAUUCAAUUUAAUGAUCAAUCAAUAACCAAUAGUCUCAAGUCUCAACAAGUCAAUGGAAAUAAUAAACAACAAUCUAAAGAUAUAACAUAAAACGUAUAACAUCAUGAUUCCAUAUUCAUAGCAUCUGUCCACAUGUUCUCUGCUAUUGUUGCUCUCCAAUUAUUAGCAAGUACUCUUUGUUGUUCUUGAGUACCGUGAACCUCUUCAUACGCAUUAUUUUCAUCAUCACCGCUUUCAUCAACACCAUUUUCUUCGAGAACGUCUUCUUCAGGAAGAAACACGUCUAAACGACAUUCCUUACGAAGAUAAUUAUGUAAAACAGCAUAUGCAAGUACUAACUCUGCUUGCGUCUUAUAUGGAAAGGGAGGUGCAUAUUUGAACAUGAGAAAUCUUGGUUUAAUCUGGAAUCAAGAAGAGACAUAGCAAUGAGAAUCGGUCAUGUCGUGUUCCGGUAACGAUUCGUCAUUGCUGUUAUAAGUGGAUUCGAUUGGAUACUUGAGAAUGGUUGAUAUGAGAGAGUGAGAGAAAACUUGAAAGUAAAAUCGAGAUCGAGAGAGAUAGAAAGACAAGAAAGAAGAGAGAAAAUUGAAAAAGAUAGAAAGACGAGAAGGAAGAGAAAAAAUUGAACCAGUCGUUAGUAUGUUUUUUUUGGACUUUCUUUUUAACCAAAUACCACCUCUAUUGUUUUGUUAUUAUUUUUGCACUAAAAAAGUGUUCAAAGUCUCUCCAAAUAUCUAUUUUCAGUAUUUUUCUUAAAAAAAAUUGUGAAAUUUGAAUAACAGUGGAUUUGCUUUAGUUUUUAUAAAUUCUUAAUUGAAUAACAAGAGAUUUGAAAUUAUUUGAAGUGAUUUUAUAUAAAUUCCAGUUUCAAUAACAUGGAAUUUGGGAAGAGAUUUUAAAAUCAUUAAUUGAAUAACAAGUGAUUUUAACAAAAAAAAAAAAACCAAAAUUUUUAAAAAUCACUGUUUCAGUACACUCCCCUAAAUAUAACAUGAUGUCAAAACCCGAACAUGCGCCAAUCCAACUCAAACCAAGAUCAAUAUCUGACCUGAAAUUGUCAGACCAAUAUGACCCCAAAUAGAUAAACCGAGAUUUUUAUCGAGAUGAAAGGAUAAAAAGAUAUCAUCUCAAAUGAGAGACCCAAAGACCAAAGUAAUAUGUAAGAAACAUGGGUUGGAUUAGCAAGGCUUCGACACAUACACCCACUCAAGGCCCAAAUCGAGAAACCCCAAAAAAGUUGUAAGAAAACUCAUAUGGAUAGAGCUCAUUUAUUUCUCUUUAGCUAAAUCACUUUUUUUGUGUGGGCUUGAAAUGGAACAAAUUAGAUAUUGUACAACCAAUUCCGAAGAAGAAAGACUAUAUUUGGGCCAGCAUUCUUUAAUCGCAAACAGACGUCAAGCCUUAUAGGAAUCUACUCCCUGGUAGGCAAGAAAGCCCGUAUAGCUCAACUGCACUGUGACCAGAAAGAGAAAAAAGAAAGAAAGAGAACUAGGCUAAGGUGAUUGAGAAAGCUUAUGUAAACCGCAACAUAGAGGUUGUGAAAGAGAUUAGGUUUGUAAAGGUUACUUUGAUCAUUCAUAAAAAACCUCAACUGAUUCUAACUUCAGUUUCUACGUUUAUUUUAACAUAGAAAACAACAAAAAAUCAAAAACAGAUAUCACUUUAGCGAAAUCUGAAACAUUAUCUGAAACAUUUUUAAUUUUCAGAAAAUCUGUGUACAUAAGUACAUUGCAAAUACAAACUAAAGGAGAACUUUCAUUUGCGUGUGAAAUUCAUGAUUUAUGUUUACCAUCAACAACUAUAAUUUGUUUAAAAAGCUGAAGAUUGUAAAUUCAUUUGAAUUAAUAAAAAGAAUAACUGCACAAUAAACGUAAACAAACAAUCAAAAUCAUAAUCAUGUAAUUGAGAGGCAUGCUUUGCAAUUUUCAAGUUGAAAUGAUCUCACAAAUGUGUGUACUCAAUAAACAACGAAAAGCCCUAUCAAGAAGAGACUUGGUUCCCACCUGCGCAAGCCUAUGCAUGUCAACUGGCUAAACCUAAUCCGAAACUCCAUCUCCAUCACAAAUUCAUACUCGAACCCAAGUUUUACUUAGACUCAUUCUCCAACAAAGAGCAAAACGAGUGGUAAUAAAUUUAUAGAGGAACACAAAUCCAAAAGAGCAGAGGACACAGUCAACGACGAACCAAAAGGUUCCAUAAUGCUUAAACAGUCACACUAUCCUCAAUCACAAAGUCCUUUUUCUGAAUAGAUGCAGUAAGCAAGACUAAAGGCACAUAGAAACUCUAAGUGGAAAUGUACCAAUAAGAAUCCUAGACUAAUAGUACGCUACUAUUUAAUCGACUAAAGAUCCCAUAUUCUUGCUCAUAUAUGUUACUCAUUCAGAUAAAUAACUUAACAAGGGACUAAUGUAGCAGUAAGGAGUUUAAAGUAAACCAUCUGAAAUAGUAGUACUACACCGAUUCAAAAGUAUUUCAAAUCGAAACACAAAACAUCCAAAACAUCAUUACUCAAUUCCCAGAACUGUUUGUUUCCAAAACUAAAGCCAUUACCUUGUGAAACACAUAUCCUCAAGUGUGUCGAUCGAAAUCAACGCCAACUCGAUGGCCAAUACGGAUGAAUACCAUAUCCAGUCUUCCAAUUAUCCAAGUAAACAACUUUCUUCACAGCCCAGAACGAUAUGAACAAAGCCAAAAGCAUAAUCAAUCUCUGUGCAGUAAGAUUCUUCACUCGAACAAGCACAUUGGUAACAAACGCCAAAAGCAAUCCAACAACAGUAUACAAGAAUCCAACAGCAAAUCCUUCAGCUCCAAGCUGCAUUCCAGAUCCUUGGUAGAAGAAGACAAGCUUAUUCGGAUCAUUACGAUCUUGAAGAAACAUCGGCAUUUUCCUGAUAAUGUUGUGCAUUGUACCAGCAACGCUAAAGAAGUAAAUGAAGAUAGCACCAGAUAACCAAAGUCUACUAUCAUGAAGAAUAGUUUCUCCUUUUAGAACUCGUUUGAUGAUAAACGGAGUAGCGAUAACGAUCAACGCAACGAUUACGCCGAUCUGCGGUUUCGAUAGAAGCGGUGGACGUUGAAUAGGACCGACCUUGAGUUUAGUUCGUUGCUCGACGAACUCAGCCAUUGAUUCCGCUAAUCUAGAGUAAUCCGAUUGAUCCAUUUGACCAGAUUCAUCACGUAGAUUCGAUAUCGAAGGACUUACAAGACGAAUGUGAGGUAAAGCGUUAACGCCAAAGAGCUGGAACGAAGAUUGAGACUGUGAAAACUCGAUCUCACAGAAGAAAAGCUUAGUUCCUUCAGAUCCAUUGUUGUUAGCGAGGAAUGAAGCGGAGACGAUACCGAAUUCGCGACGGAGCUCUUGAAGACGAAGCUCGUUUUUGCUGUGAAGCUGAGUUGCGUCGAAGAAGACGAGUAACGAGUAAGGACGAGGAGUGGAAGCGGAGGUUAGGAAUUUUGAGAUUCCAUGGUCAUCGAGAUGGAUUACGCCUGAUUCGCUUGUUGAUCUGAGAGAUACAAGUUCGUUUAGAAGAUCUGAAUCGGAAUCUGAAUCGGAAAACGAAGCUGCGAAUGCGGAUGAUAGUGUUGCUACGAGGAAGAGAAGAGAGACGAGUUUUGAUUUGACCGCCAUUGUUGAAUGUUGAUCUCUCUCUCAGAUUCGAGAAGAAGAGAAAAGUGAAAGAAAAAGGUAUUUGCCGUUUACCAAAAAGCCUCUGGUUGGAGAAGAAGGUCUUCGAAGUUUUUGGGUUUUUUGGGUAUCUCGCUGGUAGUCCUACGUGGAAGGUUUUUGUUGGUUGAUGUAUCCACGUGGAUAGUUUCGAUUCGUGGAAUAAACUCUGAUACCUAUGAGUGAGGCUAUGAGAUUUUAGUAUUUUACGAGACAUUCGCCUUGUUUAAUUUGUUUUUUUUUUUUUUUUUUUGUUAACUGGAAUAAACUCUAAUUUUUCUUAGCUCCAAAACAGUGAAAUUUUAAUUUAAAAUAAGGCUAAGAUUCAAGGUUAAGAACCAAUUGGAGAUUACUUUGUUUAAUUUUAAUAGAUUAGCAUUCGUGCAAUGUAGUGUUUUGUCUUUGAUAAAAAAAAAAUCUUUCUGUUUCAAGUUAUUUUGUUGGUAGAUGUUUGUUUGGGAGGAGGUAGACCAAUUGUUCUUAGUUAGAAUCGGAUGAUGGAUAAUGAAGUUAUUCUUGCUUUGGAUUUAAAAGAGACUAAUUACAAAAAAAAAAUGACCGAAUCCCUUUUUAUUGAUUAUCGAUUAUCGAAAUUUUUACAUAUAUUAUUAAUAAUGAUACCACAAUUUUUUUUAAAAAGUUUUUAUCAACAUCAAUAAUUUUUACCGAAUCUCUAGUCGUUCCACCACGAAAACAUCCUCCUUCACAACUUAUUUUUCAUCUUUUAUUUUUCUCCUUUACCACUUAUAUUUUGGUAUAGAAUAUCACACUCUUCCAUCUUUUAAACCAAAUUCUUCUUCAAAUGUUUAGGUGCUUGUCUAACACCAUCAAUACAAUUCACAACCAUUAUUAUGGAUACUUUGUAAAGGAGAGUUGGAGAGGUGUAGAUUAAGGGUAUUAAUGUAACUAGGAUGAAACCCGCGCUAUGCCGCGGGUAUGUUUUUGAAUGUAAUUUUUUAAAAUGAUAUGUACCUUAAGCAUCAAUAGAGAAUCAUUCUUGUCUGUUCCUAUCUUUUGGCAAGCUUAGAUGAGUUGACGUCGUUGAUGAUUCUCUAUGGAAUUCUUUUUCUUUUUUUUCAUGGAAGUUUGUAUUUCUUAUUUCAUGGCGAUGAUAGUGCGUCUCAUUCUGGUGUAUGUGCUAACUUUAUUUCCACAAUUCCACUUACAAAAGUUGGUAUCAGGAGAGUUUGUACAAAUAUUUGCAGGCUUUAUGAUAUUCUUCUCGAUUCUUGGUAAGCUUGUCUCUUAUAUAAAAAUCCAUUUAGAAUUGAAGUAGAUCCCAUUAAGUAAUCUUCUUAUAUAUAUCCAAUGCAGGGAAGUUUGGGGCAGUAUUCGCAUCAAUACGUGCUCCUAUAAACGCUGCCUUGUACUGUCUCUUCUUUGCCUAUAUAUGUAGGUAAGUAUUGUUUCUAAGAAGAAGUGAAUAAUAUAGUAGGGUGGGUAAAUCUGAUUUUCGACUUGGCUUUGAGUGAAGCUGCUCUCUUUAUAUUCAGAUAGAUAGCUUGAUAUAUCUUCCCUUUGUAUAGUUUAUUCUAACUCCUAUAUAUAUUUACUCUUUAUGUUUUGUAGCUCUUGAAAAAGUUUUCUAAAGAUCUGCCGUCUUGGAGAUAGUGAAAAAAGGUAUGUGUCUUAUCCUCUUAUUAGUCAUACUCUGGUUAUAUUCCAUUAGCUUUGCAAAAUUUGGUUCUUAUGUAGAAAUUGUAAUGGAUUAAUCAAGAUAUAACCAAUAAGUUGGAUAUAGUGUAUAGAUAGUUCUCAAUUUUUUAAUCCCAAUACCAUGCAAAAGUUAGUAUAGUUCUCAAUCUAAAUAGCAAACUCAUAAUCAGCAUAAACCAAUGAAAAGCAAAAAAACGAAGGAGCUAUUCAAUUUAAAACUUUGGAGGUAUUCAAACAGAGCUUUUGCUAUUGAGAAGCUGAAUAAAAAAAUCUAUGAUUUCAAAAAAUGAACAUUGUUGAGCCAAAAAUGUUUCAGUUGGAUGGCACGGCUCCAGUUACGUCUUUGGUGUUUCUCUGUUCGUGGAGGAGACAAAGAUCAUGCAUGAGGUAAAUUCUCUUUAUUCAAAUUCCAUGUGGCAUAUCUUGUUUUUAGAAUAAGAAUAAUCAAUAAAAAUAGUUUUAGAUUACAUGUUUUCCUUGUUCCGCAGCACAUGUAGCAUCACAUCAGUAAGAUGAAAACGACGCGAUGGAUGUUAAUCAUAAAAAAUCGAAACCUGCAAGAAAAACUCUCAAUCAACUCUCAUGUGAAAACAAAUCUAGAGCAUUAAGGCGGUUUGGAAGAUUGUUUACAACGAUAAUAAUCCAUACUCAUUCCAAGAAAGAGACAUUUUAUUACUAAUCUUGAAAGGACCAUUCUCAUAGAACAUAGCCAACUCACUGCUACAUCCAGGCCCUCCAACCAACCAAAUCACAAUGGGAGCGUCCUUCUUGUUGCGUGACUCAAAGUGAACAAACAAAGCAAAUAAACACUACUUUGAGAUUCCAAUUAGUAAAACGUCACCAAAACUCCAAUGUUCAAAAAUCAAACUAAUACACAAACCUACUCAAGAGCUAGCUGCAAAUUGUAAUUGAACCACAAACAAGUCCAUAACGAUUUCUCAAAUUUUAAAGUUCUAGAAGUUGCUAUACUCUACCAUAAAAAGCUCAAAAUCGAGCAGAUCCUUGAUCAUAUCAAGUGAUAUAGUGUCACUGAAAGGAAACGUAGAACUCAAAGGAGGUUGAAUUUCUCACCUGGAUUUCUUGUCUAGGUAAACACCAUGGAUUUGGGAAUGGAGGAAGAUCAAGCAACCCGGAAGAGCCUAUUUCAUCGAUCAGAAGGCAAAACCCAAAGCCUAUUUCAACAAAACCCACCAUGUUUGGGGUUUAUGAUUAUAAACAAAAUAAUUAAAAAGCCCAUGAAUUAAAAAUAUCAAGAUGGGCAUUUAAAAAGCCCAAGAUGAUUAUAAAAAAAAUGAUGUGGAAUUGAGGAAGAUUUUUACUGGACGGAAAUGAUGAGCUGUAUUAAUGUUAUAAUUUGAUUGGACAGCUUUUUUAAUGAUUUGUCAGGCUGAGAAUAGCUGAAAAAACUGAUGUGUCGUUUUAUUGUAUUGAUUAGUCAUGACUUAAACCUUAAGGUUAAGACCAGAGCCGACCACAAGGCCAAGCAGGCAAAGCACAUGUUUGUGGCCAUUAAAUAAUAUCAUUAAUUUUCGGCCACAUUUAUGUAAAAGUUCAUGUGGUCUAGUGGUUAUAACUCAGUGGUGCAGUCAACAAUUCUUGGGUUUGAGUCUUGUGGCCCAAUAUAUUGUAAAUCAUUUGUAUCAAUAAAUCAUUCAGCCUACAUUUUUAUUUGGUAUCAGAGAAUUUUCUUGAGUCUCAAAGCUUCUAACAACAACAUUCCUCACUUGUCACAAAGAACCCGAGACACACUACACAUUUUAUCUUAUCACAUCUUGCGUAGUUGCGUGGGCUUAAUGUCAGUCACACCAUCGCCAAAUGAAACUAAUAUUUGCUUGAACCGCCAAUAGUAACUCGAUUCCAUCUCUAAUCGUGCGUUUUAAUCAAAACGCGUUUACUGAUUUUCCAAAUUCAUUUUAAAGAGAAAAACAAAAAGGAAAGAAAAAAAGAUUUAAACAUAAAUAAAAUUGAACACCUGUAAGUUCUCGUCGUGACCCAUUCGAAUCGAUUUUAGGCGCUAGGGUUUCUUCAUCCAUCUCUCCGAAGAAGAAGAUGGUUUGCGAUAAGUGUAAGUCCUUCGAAUUUGUUCGAUCAUUGUGUUGGGUUGUGAUAUUAUCGCCCUUAUUAGCGUUGGGAUUUGUGAUUCGAUUCGGAUUUUAGCUUAAUCUGUUACAUGUUUCAGGAAUAAACCUAAUGAUUUCUGAUUCGAUUUUGGUUUCUUAGAUCGAAACCCUAGUUAUAGGAUCUGUAAUUUAGUUCAAAGCAUGAACCUUUGACUCAAGUUUUUGAUAAUCUUCUAAUUUUAGGUGAGAAGAAGUUAUCGAAAGUGAUAGUGCCAGAUAAGUGGAAGGAUGGUGCUCGUAAUGUAACUGAAGGUGGUGGCCGUAAAAUCAAUGAGAACAAGCUUCUCUCUAAGAAGAAUAGGUAUGUGUUCUUAAGUUUUUCCAUCUUUAAUUUACUCGUCUUCAUCAAUUGAAUGCAAAACAUGGAAAUUGCAAUAACUUUGUAACUUUGGGGAUGUUUGUAUCGUUCUUUUUAUCUUUUAGAUAGGUGUUGGUUUUGUUUCCUGUAGUUUCUUCUAAGAACCAUUAGUAAAUGUAGAAGUUCUCAUGGAAAUAGCGAUAAAUCUGUAAGUUUGGGAUGUUUAAAUUGUCUUAUUUGAGUUGAGUAUUGGUUUGUUCCCUCUAGGUUCUUCUAAGAAUCAUUAGUAAAUGUACAACUUCUCAUGGAACCAGCGAUAUUUUGUAACUUUGGAUGUUUGUAUUGUCUUUUUUUGAGUUGAGUUAUUGGUUUUGUUUCCUCUAGGCUUUUCUAAGAAUCAUCAGUAAAUGUUUAGGAAGAUCGAAUUUUGUGUAAAGCUCUAGUCUAGUACUCUAAUAUUUUUCAUGUGUUGUAGUACUCGCUAUCGAAGAACUAGUUAGAAUAAAUCGUUUAAGGUUUAGUGCUCUUGUGGUUAUCUUUCUUUGCUGCUUCUGAUUUUGUAUUGUGAUGUUUCUUUGCUUUGUAGAUGGUCACCUUACAGUACCUGUACCACAAAAUGCAUGAUCUGCAAGCAGCAAGUGCAUCAAGAUGGUAAAUACUGUCACACAUGUGCCUAUAGCAAAGGUAAAUAGUAAAUACAUCUGUUUUACUGCACGAAAUUCUUACCUCUGGUUAGAUAUUAUAAUAAAGUAGCUCAACAACUGAAGGAAUUGCCUCUUCGUGGUUGUGCAGGAGUGUGCGCAAUGUGCGGAAAGCAAGUGUUGGACACCAAGAUGUACAAGCAAAGCAAUGUAUAAACAAAUGAGCAAGCGUUUCACAUUUUAGUCUCAGUCCCUUUGAUGUCAACUUUGUACCACCGGGACAACUUAUCCUCUCACUCAUGUAUUCCUUUGUACCGGUUUCCUUCAGUUUUAAUAUAACAAAACAAAAUCUUGUUUGUUCACUGUGUUUCUUGACUAAUCAUAAAGUUCUAAUGUUUUGUUUUCGAGCUCGAAAUUCAAGUAUCAAAGAUAUAUUUGAACAUUCCACUGAGCAAAUUUGUUUUAAACAAAAUUGAGUCAAAACUAGACCAUGUCCAUUGACAGACAUGAUUCAUCUUGUAUAUGCCAAAUUGAGAUUUGGUUCCUGGUACCGUACAAUUAUACUACUGUCUCUUCUUGUAACUUGUUCGUUGAUCAGAUCUCUUAUAACAUUAAAGUAGAGUGAUAAUGGUAAAAAAGUGUCUCUGAAACUUGAAUUGUCUUGUGUAUCCUGGCAUGGUAAGUGACAAGUAGCUUAUCUUCUCCGCUUCGAUUCUUUACGCAUUUCUGCAAAGUAAUUCUCAAGAUUCUGCUUCUCCCACAGCCUUUUCUGUACCAGAUCUUCCUUCCUAUAUUCAUCUGAAAAUUAUCGCAUUUGCACAAUCGUUUUAAUCACAUUGUAUUAGAAAUCAAUCUUUAUCCAUAAGUCGGUUCAGGUUGGGGAAUUAGAGAAUAGAAGGAUACCUAGAUUAGCCCAUGCGUCGGCAGGCACACUAAGUGAUCUUCGGGUUAGGUACGAUGCGUCUUCCCAUGAAUAAGGAGCUUUCUUGAUCUUAUAUCUCCACACCCAACUGCUGUACCAUACUAGAAGCUGGAAGGUAACAGAAAGUUGAAUCAGCGAUCUCAGGAAAAUAAGAUAUGAGAAUCUGUGAAAUGUGGCACAGUGGAAGUAUUUUUUUAAAUGAAACCUUAAUGAUAGUGUACGGUAGGAGAAUGAAUCGAACACCGAGAAGAUCCCAGACCGAUGGUUUUUCAGCUCCUUUGAUUUGUAAGUCGAGUUCGUUACUUAGCUCUUCCUGUAGUUUCCUGCCAAGACAAAAAAUGAUUAUGAUUUAGUCAGCGAUACGACACAAUCUCAUCUAAUAAAAAGCCCAUUUAUAUAACUAGGGCAGCAUACUGGUCAAUCUGCUUUGAACCCUUCUUCUUGUUAGUUACUCCACCAGUGCGUUCGAGUUCUAAUGCCUUGAGCUUAUUUUUAUAAGCAGGAGUUCGUUUAACCGACGCUAUAGCCUGCAUGAAAACAAUAAUGCAGGAUCUCAUCAAGAAAAGGAGCCGAAAGUUCAUAUCUUGUAUAAUUUUCUAAUCAUACACUUAAGAGUUUAAGCUACAUAGAGUUCUCAUAACAAAGUAUGUGAAUCACAUUCAAGAGGUCAUAUGUCCAUAAAUUCUACGUUUCAUGAGAUGUUAUGAUACAUGUGAUACGUGUUGCGCAUACCUGUGAUAUGUAGAUGAGUAGUUCUGAUGCUUAAAAAUAUAACAAGAUAUGUUUAGCACGAAUCAGAAAAAACGCUACAGAACAGAGACUUAAGACUAUUAAAACAUAGUGAGAGACUUCCUAUCUCUAAUACGUACCUCAUUAUACCUUGCCACGUUGUUCAGAUACUGAAACGCAGACAAAACCACCAAUAGACCAACCAAAACAGCACGGGGAUCCUAAAAACACAUCAGGCAGUUGUAUCAGUUAAAAAAGCCAAUGUUUCCCCGCAAGAAAGGCUAUCACAAACAUCCAAUAAUAUCUUACCGACUUAUGUCCAUAUUUCGCCCGGUAAUAUUGAGCGGUGUUGUAAAAUACCUACAUACAAAGAAACACAAAGCGGUAGAGACAAAUUUCAGAAGAUCUUUCAUCUGUUCAAUCCAUAAAUUGCUAGAAAACAAGUAUGACAAUGCCAUUUCUCAUAAAAAAUGUUGUACUGACCUCUUCUGGAUGUUCAAUUGCAUAAUCAUAUUGUGCCCGAGUAGUAUUAUCUUUCAAAAUCUACAAAAAGGAUUACAAAACGAACCUUCUCGUUCCAUUAUUCUCAGCUAUAAACUAAAACUAGAUCAUCAUCCCUAAGAAACUAUACGCAGAUGUAUAGUGAGAUUGACUAAGCAAGAUUCAAAAUUCAAAAUCAUAAAAAGAUUGAAGUACCUCAUAAGCAGUGGCGAUUUUCACAAACAGUUUCCUCGAUUCAGGAUCCGGAUUCUUAUCUGGAUGACUAAAUCGAUUCAUCAAAACAAAGAUUAGCAAAAUACACAAUCACGAUCAAAUCCAAUCAAUCUGAACAAUAAAAUCAACAAAUCCAGAAUCAUUACUGUUGAAGAGAAAGCUUAUAAUAAGAUCUCUUGAUAUCCGAUGCGUUCGCAUCUUGAGCAACUCUGAAAUCGAAAAUGCAAAACGAUUAAGAGAGAAUGAAAAAUCAAAAUCUGAAUUUGAAAAUGGAGAUCGGAAGCUGAACAAACCCGAGAAGAGCAUAACAAUCUUCAGCACCGCAAUAAAUUGCCGUCGAAGAUUGGACGAAUAAGGAGAGAAAGAGAAGAAUCAAGGCCAAGCACCACCGCUCCGUCACCGGCGGCGCCAUCUCGUGAUUAGUCGUCGGCGAAUUGAGAGGAAAAAUACUCUUUGGGCCUUUUUUGUUUUGUUAACAGAAAUUGUGAGAUUUUUUUUUGUGAAGAGUCAACAAUAAAUGUAACUUUUUAGAAUAUUUAAUUUUGUUGGGCCAUUAUGGAUUUACGUUAGUAGUAGUAUAUUCUCCUCUUAAAUAAUUGAGUCUUAUCGUGCGAAAUAAUAGGAUUUAAAUAUACUUAUUUAUAUUAUUUUUUUACUAUUUAGAUGAAAACGUAUAUAUAUAUAUAUUUCCUUAUGUAUUUUUUUUUAAAAAAAAUUUAAUAGACACAUAUAAACAAAUUAUUGUUUUGAAGGCAACACAUAUAACACAAGAAUCUUGUAUUAGUAUCGUUUUUGUAUCACCUGUUAUAAUUUGAUGGUAUAAUGAUAAAUUUAAAAAUUUAUAUGAACACGAAAAUAAUACAUAAAGGAAAUAUGGAUAGAAGAUUAUUUGAUUCUUGACAAGAAAUAAUGCUAAAAUUAGUAGAUUUUAUGAUUUUAUUAUAUAUUGCUUAAGGAGUGGCUUUUGACACAUGAAUGUUUGGAGAGGGCCUUAAGAAGCCGAACAAGCAAGUCAGAAGUUGAUGAGAUCCAUAAACGGAAGAAGACAUAUUCUGUGAGUUAGAAUCAUCAGGUUCAUUUGAUCACUUACCUCUGCUUUUUGGUCAUUUUCUUUAAAAUUUGCUUAUAACAAUUCUGGCAGAUUGUUUCAUCUUAUCUUAAAAUCUUUAUAUAUUAAUGGGGUUGAUUAAUCAUUGUUGAUUUAUAUUUGAUUUUGGUUUCUGAAAAUUGUUACUAUGAAAUAAGUUAAGGACAAACUAUAUAUUUCAUAUUUUCUAAAAUAGUUUUGAAAAUGAUAUGUCAAGAUGUUAGGCUUUAAAACUCAAGAAAUAAUUAGAACUUCAUAAAUAAAAUUAAUUCAAUAUAAAAAUUAAAAAGUAUCUUUAGAAAAAAACUAUACGUAUAUUAUAUUUAAUUAAGAAUAUACUUUAGCUGUAAAUGGUAACACAAUUUUGAAGGUAUUGUUGAUGAAUUUUGUAGGAAAAAAGAAUUUUACAUUAUUUGAUUGUUGAAUAAUAGUUGAGGAAUAUGUGAGGAAAUGUUGAUAAAUUGAGAAUACAUAAAACAUAACAAUUUUGGUACAUGAUAUUAAAAAUCACAUUUGUAUACACAAUAUAAUGCAAUAUCAUUUGUGUACAACAAUUUUAGUAUACAUUAUGAUGCAACAUAACAUCUUUUAAAGAUACUACUAUUUAUAUUUUACUUCGGUGUUUGAUUUUACUUUUAUUUUUAAGGUGUUGGGACUUUUAUGUGUCAACAACUAGAUUUUAACCCGCGGUACACCGCGGGGCUAUACUUUAAACAAAAGUUUGAAAAUUAUCUAUAGAUAUAACCUAUUGUUUUGUUUGGUUAAAUAUACUUACAUAUGUAUAUAUUAUAUAUAUUACCCCGCGAUACUUCGGGUCGAUUUUUUAUCAAUAAUUUUUAAAUUUUAAGUUGUAUUUUUUUGUUAAUAUUAUUUAUUUUAUUUAGUGUUUAAGAUUAUAUAACUGUAUUUGAUUGUUAAUCCUAGGAUUUCACCUGUAGUAUACCGUCCCGUAUUAAUAUCGACCCAAACCCGUCCCACCAUAUAACCCGUCCCAUGAAAUUAAACAUCAUUUUGUUAUAUUUCUUUUUAAUAAUAUUUUUAUUUAAAAACAUAUACAAUUCGAGUCAAUUUAUAAGUCUGCUUUAAAAAACAUAUAGUUGUAAUGUUUUUAUUAUAAUAAAGUAAUAAUAUAUAGAUGUUGCUUACUAUAGUUAUAAUCAAAACCAACUAAAAAUCUAAGUUUAGUGUUGAUUAUGAAUCAUAGUUACAACCAAAAAAAAAUUAAUCAAAUACAAUUAGUGUAAAUUAACUAAUUAAGAAAACAAACAGAAAUAUAACAAAACUUGCUUUAAAAUCGUUAACAAAAAAAGGAAACAUCAUAUUUAAGCAAGAUCUUUGGAGCCAAAAUCUUUUUUUCAUAUCUUUUAUUUAAUUUUCCAAAUCUUAAGAAUUAAAUCCAGUGGCAUUCCAUUGUAAAUACAUUCCAACUCCAGGAUUUAUUUGCUAAAAGUCAUCCAAAAAUGUAUAUAUAGAUUUGAUUUUACUUUUAUUUUUAAGGUGUUGGGACUUUUAUGUGUCAACAACUAGAUUUUAACCCGCGGUACACCGCGGGGGCUAUACUUUAAACCAAAGUUUGAAAAUUAUCUAUAGAUAUAACCUAUUGUUUUGUUUGGUUAAAUAUACUUACAUAUGUAUAUAUUAUAUAUAUUACCCCGCGAUACUUCGGGUCGAUUUUUUAUAACAAUAAUUUUUAAAAUUUAAGUUGUAUUUUUUUGUUAAUAUUAUUUAUUUUAUUUAGUGUUUAAGAUUAUAUAACUGUAUUUGAUUGUUAAUCCUAGGAUUUCACCUGUAGUAUACCGUCCCGUAUUAAUAUCGACCCAAACCCGUCCCACCAUAUAACCCGUCCCAUGAAAUUAAACAUCAUUUUGUUAUAUUUCUUUUUAAUUAUAUUUUUAUUUAAAAACAUAUACAAUUCGAGUCAAUUUAUAAGUCUGCUUUAAAAAACAUAUAGUUGUAAUGUUUUUAUUAUAAUAAAGUAAUAAUAUAUAGAUGUUGCUUACUAUAGUUAUAAUCAAAACCAACUAAAAAUCUAAGUUUAGUGUUGAUUAUGAAUCAUAGUUACGACCAAAAAAAAAUUAAUCAAAUACAAUUAGUGUAAAUUAACUAAUUAAGAAAACAAACAGAAAUAUAACAAAACUUGCUUUAAAAUCGUUAACAAAAAAAGGAAACAUCAUAUUUAAGCAAGAUCUUUGGAGCCAAAAUCUUUUUUUCAUAUCUUUUAUUUAAUUUUCCAAAUCUUAAGAAUUAAAUCCAGUGGCAUUCCAUUGUAAAUACAUUCCAACUCCAGGAUUUAUUUGCUAAAAGUCAUCCAAAAAUGUAUAUAUAGAUUCUUCGCAACAAAAUCGAUUGAACAAAGAUUUUGGUAAGAGGUUUAAGCAAUCUUAGAUGGGCCAUAUUUAUCUUAUUACACAACGUUUUUGAUUUUUUCCCUUUUUCUUUUUUCUUUUAUAAUAUCAAAUGCUUCUAAAACACUGAUUUGUUAGAAUUGAGUCCAUGAUUAAAUCUUCUAAUAUCAUAUGUGUUAGUUUGUAUGUAAAGUCAACGGAUGUAAUGUGUUACAUAUGACUUACCACGAACGGGUGUGAGUAAGAGACGUAACUUGUCGGUGAAGUUACAACUGUUACCAACGGUUACGUGGAGUAGUUAUGUAAACAUGUAUAUAAGUGUGUAUGUCUUGUCGAGUAAAAAACAACAAGUUUCAGAUUCAAUAAAGAGUUAUUUUUGUUCUUGUCUUCUUUACAAGAGAAGAGACAAAUGUCUCUUGCAUUGUUUUUCUUCUUUCUCUCAAUAUUCCAACAUGAUUCACAUCACAUGUUAGCAAAGCAAGCUGACUAUAACUCUUAACAUAUGGACACUUUGCAGGAGUAUGUCCCUCCAACAAGAAACCUCAAAUCUUCUCAAUUAUAUUAAUCAAAUUUUAGAGAAGAAAAUUACAUGUAAAUAUACCAACUUAAAUCAUAUAUUUUGAUUCACAUAGCUGAUAGAAACAACUUGAAUCAAUUUAGAACUAUAGCUAGUAGUACCAUAUGAUUAUAUUAAUAGACAUGGUAAUAUUAAAAAGGAAUGAAAAUAACCAUUAGACCCAUCAUAUUAAAUGCACUUUUAGCUACUUAGUUUUAAUCUACCUUUUUAGUUAAAUAUUUAGAUACUUAGUUGUCAAUUCUUUUCUUCUCAAAGUGUAAUACCCAUAAUAUUUUCCAAGGUAUCUUUUGCUUUCUUCUUAACUACCACCAAUGUUUUGUUUUUUUUUUAAAUUGCUACAUAAACCUCACAAUCCAUCAGUUUACUUCCCAUGGCCCACUAACCCUAAAUCCAUCCAAAAAAAACAUGCACAACAAGGUCGAUUCGUUACCGGUUCGAUCGAACCCAUCAACCCGGCCUAUAUCCCGUCACCAGUCGGCGAACAACAUCGUUCAUCGGGUCAAAGAAAGCCUCACAACAAGAGUCUCUAAACUCAUAUGUGCCAUUUUCUUAUCUCUUUUACUAUGUUUAGGCAUUAUCACUUUCAUCUUAUGGAUCAGUCUACGACCACACCGACCACGCGUCCAUAUCCGCGGGUUCUCUAUCUCGGGUCUAUCCAGGCCUGACGGGUUCGAGACAUCACAUAUAAGCUUCAAGAUAACGGCUCAUAACCCAAACCAAAACGUUGGCAUUUACUACGAUUCCAUGGAAGGAUCCGUUUACUACAAAGAGAAACGGAUCGGGUCGACUAAACUCACUAACCCGUUUUACCAAGACCCAAAGAACACGAGCUGGGUCGACGGAGCCUUAGGUCGACCCGCAAUGGCAGUGACUAAGGAACGCUGGAUGGAGAUGGAACGAGACAGGAAUCAAGGGAAGAUAGUGUUCCGUUUGGAGGUAAGGUCCGUGAUACGUUUUAAGGUGUACACAUGGCACAGUAAGAGCCAUAAGAUGUACGCAAACUGUUAUAUUGAGAUCGGUUGGGAUGGAAUGUUGUUGAGUGGGACUAAAGACAAGAAAUGUCCAGUUUAUUUCACUUGAACAAAAGUGUAUGUGUCUCCAUAAUAAUUUACAUAAAUCCAUAUUAACAUGAUGAGAUUACAUAUUGUUUUUUAAUGAUUACAAAAUUAUGCAAACAUUUUAUUGUUUUAUCUGUAUAAAAUUUGGUUGUAUAACAUUCGGCUCUUGAUGACCUGUACAAUGUUUUUUUCUUUUAUUAAUCAUUAUCAAUAUGAUUCGACACGACAUUAGUGUUCGUUUUGUUUUCGUUGACGGCCGACAUCAGUGUUUUAUAUAAUCUUACAGAAUCUCCAACUGUUCAUAUAUUGAGUUCUCUCGUAUGGUUCUCAUGAAAAAAGAAUUUUAAAAAUAAAUCAAAAUUAUUAUAUGAAGAGAAACAGUUUUCUUGUGAGAGCUUUUGAGAUAAAUCAAGAGAGACGAUGACAUGGCGUCAUACCAUUGGUCGAUUUUUAGACAAAACAAAGAAAAAAGAACGCAAUAUAAAAAAAAACAAUCACGCGUCAAAAAAAAAAACCCGACUCUCUCUCUUUCUUUGCCAGCGAUGGCAAUGGCUAGGUCUGGGUAAAAUAACCGAACCACAAGAACCGAACCAGAACCGAAAAAAAAAAAAAAAACCGGAACCGAACCGAAAUUUUAAAAUAUUCAAAUGGAUCCUAAAUUUUAGAACCUAAAGAACCAGAACCGGAACCGAACCGAACAGAAAUAUUUCGGAUAUCCAAAAAUACCCGAAAAAUGAGUUUAUAUUAGAAAAUAUUAGUUCUUUUUAUAUCCAAUAGCUUAAAAUACCCAAAAUACCAAUAAAUAUUUGAAAAAUAUAUAAAAAAUACUUAAAAUAUCCAAAAAAUGCUCAAAAAUAUCCGAAAAUACCCAAAAAUAUCCAAAAUACCUAAAAAUAUCUGAAAAAUAUGCAAAUGGAUCAUAAACUUCAGAACCGAAAGAACCGGAACUGGAACCGGAACCGAACCGAGAUCCAAAUUCAAUGGAUGGAGAGUAAUCGAUUCAGCUUGGAUCGUAAUUGGUAAGAGCAUCUAUGGAAAAAAUUUCGCAACAAUCAACAGAAUAACUAAUCGUUUUUUUUUUUUUGCAAAUUUAUUUUCAAAUGUAUGAAAUUAUUGUAUGUUUAAUAUGUUAUGAGUUGUAAUAUUUUCAGUUUUAUGAAAUAAAAUAAUUAAAAAAAUAAUUUAAUUUUUUUCUGAAAACCCCACAAAGAGAGCCUACCAUUAGAUUUUGCAAAAUUAAAAAAAUUUAACAAAAACUCUCAUCUCAUAAAUUUGAAAAUUUUAUUCUUAAAAAAAUGGUGAGAGCCCAUAGAGAAAAUGCUCUUGCGCGUUUGAUUCAUACGUUGGGAAAAAAUUAUACUUAUGUUGUCGACUAGGGAUAUAUCAUUUAAUCAGGAAGGGCAUCACCAGCUACAGUAGUUGCAUUCUCACCACCCUCUCCCUGUCAACAUACAUGGGAUUGAGCAGCCCCCUAUCUCAGAGGGUUUACCCCAUGGCCAGUUUGCGAUGAAAGAAACUUCAGAAUGCAGCCCACAUAGACGUCGUACAACUUAUUAUUAAGGAUAAUUAUGUUUAAUUUGAGAGAUUGAGCUAAGCAAUUGAUAUUUGAUAAUAAAUAAAUAAAAUUUAUAUUGAGCUUUUAAUAGAAAAAACUCUGUUUAUUUUUUUUUGUCUCUAAUUACGUAAAUUUGAAAAGAAAAUAAAUAUAAAAAUGGGGAAAAAUAUCUUAUUAUAAAAUUUAAUAUAAAAUAGGCAUGCAUAUAAUUUUAUAUUAUUUUAAGUUUGGAACCUCGUCCUAUUUAUACAUUAUCAAGAUCAUAAUCAUUAAAGUUAAAUUCGGACAGCUUGGCCCAAAGUUGACCAAGAGAGGAAAAAAAUAGAGUAUAGUUUUCAAAAGAACGAGAAUAUGAGAACCAAAUAAUGCCUACUAAAAGGAUAUAUAUAAGAAGAAUUAAUUCAAAUAAUAGCUGAAUCUUUGUUGAUGACCACAACAAGGUUACUCAAAAGAAGAUGUUCUCUCUCCCUAAUCAUCAAUCAAAAUUCAUCUACUUUCUCUCUCUCUUUUUCUCAUCAAAACCCUAAAUGCACAACCAACGUAUCUCCUUAGCUAUUGCUACACAUCAGGAAACUACACGGCAAACAGUUCGUACAAAUACAAUCUAGAUUCUUUAAUAUCCGUUCUUGAUUCUCAAUCAUCCAACAAAGGUUUUUACAGCUACGCCUCCAGUUCUUCCUCAAGCACAACAGUUUAUGGAACUUAUCUAUGUCGAGGAGACAUUUCGUCUUCAAAAUGUGAAACAUGCAUCUCAAGAGCAUCCAAAAACGUUUUUAAAUGGUGUGCUGUCCAAAACGAAGCUAUCAUAUGGUAUGAAGAAUGCUUCCUCAGGUACUCCAACCAUCAGAUUUUCUCGAUUCUUGAUCAAGGGCCAUUUGUUACAUGGACGACUUAUGAUACCAUGUUGUACCAAUCUUAUUUCAUUAAUACCGUGGAAUAUAGUAUAGACCGGCUGAUACAAGAAGCCUAUUCGCGUUCUUCAUAUUUUGCAGAAGAAACUUAUCAUGUGAGUUGUCUUGGAGAAGUUUACGACCUAAUAGGAUUGGUAUACUGUGCACACCCGAUCUAAAUCAGUAUGAUUGCUAUAGGUGCUUGAAAUCAGCGUAUAAUGAGACUGAAGGUUGUUGUUAUGGAAAACGUUUUGCGUUGGUUUAUACCACCAACUGCAUGUUGACAUAUAAAGCCACUUUGUUAGCCCCACCACCACCUCCUCCUCCACCUCCGCCAGGACCACCACCACCUCCUCCACAACGUUUUUACCACGAAAAUGAAAAUCCUAGCUCCGAGGAAUCAUUUUUCGUUUAAAUUAAAAGGUGAGAACGAUAAUAUAAUUAUUCGCUAGGUUUGAUUGUUUUGUCGUUUAUCUAGAUUCUAGAGUAGUUAAAAGGAACAUACUCUUUAUUUCUUAUUAGCAAAAUUGCUUUUAUAGUUUUAUGUAAAUAUAUAUAUAUAUAUAUAUAUAUAUAUAGUUUGAACCUUAAUAGGUAUAUAUAUUAUGAACCUUAAAAUGAUAAGUUGAUUGAAUUUGAUUAUGUUUCCUUUGAUAGUCUUUAACAUAUAUGGAGUUUGAUCAUGCAUGUAGGUAAAGUAUUUCGAAGAAUCAUAGCUCCGGUGAUAGCUGCGGUUGUAGUGAUCUUGGUGAUAUGUGUGUGUUCUCUUUGUUGUUGUUGCAUUAAAAAGAAAAAGAAGGCAAACGAAAGAGAAACAUCGAUAGAAAUUUCGACGCUUAACAUUGGUGAGAAUCUCACGGUUGAUCACCAAUAGCGAACACCGAAUCAGAUUUACCAAAGUAACUCAUUGUUUGUUUAAAUCAGAUUUCAGUUGUACUGAUCACUAUUCAAACCAACACAUUCAAAUAGCUAUCUGUUUAUCGUUGCCAACUUAAUUUGUACAAGUGUUCUUUUAUACCAUAAACGAAUGAUUUUGAGCUUAAAGGUACUCUAAAACUAUUCAACAAACUAAACGUCUGAACAAUUCCAAACCGUUGGUGUAAGUAUUAUAGAAAUUGAUCUCUCUUCACUCGACUAAUAAUACAUAAGAAUAUCACUAGACUAAUGCAAGUUGGUAAUAUAUACGUGUUGCGUGUAAACCCUAUAUAUAUACUUCAAAGAUGCUCCUGUUACAUAUUAAAAAAAUAAAAAACCAAAAUUUAUGAAAUAUGUAUUUAAUUCGCGUUAUCAUUCGGCGCCAGAAUGACUUAUACACCAUGUUAUAGAUAACAAUUAUCAAUAAACACAUACAGCUUAUUUCAUUUAUUAAAAGUUGUAUCGAUUAGAUAUGUUUAGAAAAAUUGAUGGUGUAUAAACUAAUUAAUUAGUUUGUUUUUAAAUCUUGGUAAUUCAACAAGUAAUGAAAAAUUGAAAACGUACUAUCUAUUAUGAUAUGAUCUCAAAUACUUGCUAAUUGUGUUUGAUCAUGAGAAUGGAUUAAUACUGGUGACUUUUAGAGCCGGCUCAUACUAAUCAUAUUUUUAUCGUUUAUGUUGCUUUUAAGUGAUUAUUUACUAUUGGAUCAUAGUACAAGCACGACUCAGGAGACUAUCCAAGAGCCAAAAGUAUAACAAAACAGUUCGAGAUUACAAUAAUGUUAUUACGAAUAUACGAUUACGACUUUAACCAAAAAGUUCACAACACUUUUGAUUAAUAUAAGAAAGUGCAUGCAAAAAUUGUAGUACAACAGGUUGGUCUAGAUAAUGUAAAGAACUUACCUGAUCAUGAUUGUUUAAAAUAAGAAAAUCAGAAGAAAUUUAAGUCUUCUUUCAGGCUUUAACGAAAUAUAUAUCUAAUUCUCCAUGUACAGAUACAGAUACAACUUGUAUGCAUUCUUUGUUAAUAUUUAACCUGUGCAGUUUAUUUAUUAUUAUUACUAGAAGAAUACCCACGCUACGCAUGAGUUUUGUUUCGAAAAUUGUUAAAAAAAAUUAUGUUCAAUGUUUUUGCUAAUUUAUGUUUUUUUUGUUAUCGUGUUGUUAAUAAAAUUAGAUUCAUCUUACGUAGUUAUAAUUUUUAUGGUUACAUUUAUUUUUUGAUUUGAAAUAUCAAUUUAUAUAUUUUUCAUGUAUAACUCUGAUUGUUUAUAUAUAUAAGAUCCUAAUAUUUUUUCAUUAUCAUGACUACACACAACAACAAUAUAGGAUAUUUUGAUACAGUGAUAUAUAAUUAUGUUAUUUGUAUGGUUUGAAACUUGUCUAACUUAAUUAUAAAUAAAAAAAAUUCAGUGCUCUAUGCACUCUCCUGAUCUAGUACUCCGGCCACAUUAUGAUAGGCUCAUUAUUAGAUACUGGAUUGACAUUAUUUGAACAAGAUCUCAAGAGUUUUCAUAUGAAAAGAAUAAAAAGAAAUCAAAAAUUAAAAAGUUAUUUAAGUCGGCACUUUUAGAUCUUCUACCAUUGCAUAUAGUCAUAUAAAAUAAAUAUUCGUGUUUUGAAUUCUUGGGUAUGUCUAACAUCUUAAAGAUCUAUUACUUGAAAAUUUUUGCAUGCCAAUGUUACCAACUUACAAUGAGACACAAAAAUAAAAAAGAGAUGAUCAUAUGAUAAAUCGUAUAUGAACCAUAACACACUACAAGAAAUUUGUUCAUUGAUAGCGCUAAAAAUAUGCUAUCUUACGUUAUAGAUAGCGAAUUCACAAACGCUAUGUUCUCGGCAGCUAUAGUAGGUAUCACCCAUACAAAAGCAUUUUUUGUCGUGCUAUUAUAAGUCCUUCUAGUAUAGCACUAAUCGAAUGCUUUAAUAUAAUUUUUUAUAACUCAUAAUUUUUGCUAUAUUAUAUUUUUGUGUAGCAAAUUUUAUGUGCUACAUUAUAAAAUGAUGAAUUGCAAAAUUAUUUUAAAUCUAUAAAUUUAAAAUCCAAAUAAUUAUAUGCUACAAAACCAAUUUGUUGAAAGCACAUUUCUUUUCAUAGAUCAUCAAAAAAUACAUAAUUGUAAUUUUACAAAAUAGUUCAGCAUUUAACACCAUUUGUUAUAAAAACAAAGGUCAUAAACAACGUCAUAAGUACUGCAAUUCAGAUGGACUAAACAAAGAACUCCAUUGGUUUGCUCUUUCCCUCCCUCCAAGGACUUAGGAUGAUGUCUCAUUCCAAGCAAUUCUCAUUUCACUGCCUUCUCUAUAUCCUCUGCAGUUCAGUUCUCUUUUUGAAGUUGGAUGUCUUUGUAUGAGUAAAAGCAAGUGACUUUCUCAAUUACUUCUACAAGAUAAUGGCUAGAAAACCGUGAGAAAAAGAGGGAACCUGAGAUUCAUGAUGGUCUUUUUAGCAUCAGACUUCAAAGACAAUCCAAUGACCUAAACAGCUUCUGUUGUAGCUUAUUCACCAGCCUUAAAAAAAAUAUUAAAAGAAACUUGCCUUAGCCUUCUGGACCAUGCUUCCUUUGUUCUUGUCUUUCAUUCCCACAGUCAACAACGUUAACACCUCUGUUGGCAAACAUGGAACAAAGGGAAAACAGAUUACUGAAUUAUGAUUUACAAAAAAUAAACGUUGAUGAUAAGAAAGGAAAUUUUACUUACUCUUCUAUGUUGCUAGUCCAUUGUGCUUCAGGAUCGUAGAGAUUGUUACCACAUUUGUGAUUGCUAAAUACACAAAAGAUUAGAUUAUACGUAUAUAACACACAAGACGAGAAACAGAUCUAAACAAGAUUAAGUGAUAGUAAGAAUCUAUACCCAUUCCAGGUAUCACUCAAACUCCACUUCAAAAGCCUUUCUUUAUCUCCUGCUUUCUCAAUGAAUCCAAGCACAUGAGAGUACAAUUACUAGCUAGGACUAGUAUUAACCUUUUGUCCCUUCACUGUCAAAAACAGAACCCAUGUAAGUUANNNNNNNNNNNNNNNNNNNNNNNNNNNNNNNNNNNNNNNNNNNNNNNNNNNNNNNNNNNNNNNNNNNNNNNNNNNNNNNNNNNNNNNNNNNNNNNNNNNNCCUGAAAAUUCAUAAACUAAAACCUGUAACAGAAAAUCAAAACCUGCAGCCAUCAAUCUGGAAAGCUAUUUCCACUUCCACAAUCAUCAGAAGCCAUAAAAAACAGACUCCAAUAAAGGAUCAAGUAUGAAACAUUACCAUUAACAUUACAAAUCUGUAGAGUAAUCGUUAUCUAAGUCGCAACAACCUAGACUAAAGUAACCAAAUUAAAUUCUUAAAGAUCACAUCCUAACAAAUCUUAAUAGAGUACACAUGAACCAUUUGAAGCAGCAAUGAGAAAACGAGAAAAGUAACGACAUCUUAAUAGAGUAAACAUGAACAAUUGCAAACAUUUUUCAAAGACUGCACAUAUAUACCAAAGAGGAGACAUUGCGACAGUCCAUAAAUAAGGCAUGGUUUGCUUGAAUCCUAAGAACUACGUGAGUAAAGACUCCAUCAUGUUCAUUGAAAAAAAAACAAAGAAAAAGCGGAAAGACAGACCUCUCUUGGUUAUUUCUUGAGCUUUGCUCUCUUGCCACUCUCACUAAAUGGAAAAGAGCUCUGGAAGUAUUUGAGGAUUCAUUGUAUCUGGGAAACAAGUAAGAUAUUAGAGUAGAAAAAGGGAGAGUUCUAUGAUGUAUGAAAAUAGAUAUGUAAAAACUCACUAGAAGAACUCGAUGGAGACUUUUUGCUUUCUAAAUCGAAAUCAUUAUCUCACUGCUAAAUCAAUCUAACCCAAAUUCAUCUACAAUUGCUAAUAAAUCUAGUGAAUCCUAACAAAAUCGUACAUAUGGAGCCGAGAGAAAGAGAAAGACGGGAGUCGGAGGGAGAAGGAUUAAGCAAUUGAUCGAGAAACCUUUCAGCUACGAAGAACCAAGCGACGAAGAUGGUUUGGGUUUCACCUACGUUUCAGCCACCGAAAUUAAAUUUAUGGUUUAAGGCUAUCUCAGACCACCGACGAAGAUGGAGACUGAAGAUUUCAUCAAAUUGAAGAAGAAUAAGAUAAAUUUGGGGAUGAAAGCGAGGGUGACAAAGAGAUAAUGGAUCUGAAAUCUGAAGCGAAACUGAUAAAAUCUAAUAGAUCUAGGGUUGCAUAAUCAGAGGAAGAGAGUAAGCGAGAGAGGAGAAAAGAAGAAUAGAGAGGUAUAGGAGGAGAGAACGAUGAAGGAGAAGAAGAUAGAAAUUAGGGUUGUCUCUUAAUAAUUUAAAAAAAAAAAAUUUUUUGCUAAAGUGUUAAGCGGUUUUUGUGAAAUAUUUGCAAAGUUUUGGCGGUCAUAAGUGAUUCUACGUCUCUUCUUUGCUAUUAUAGGGCUUAGCAUUUUUCAAAUGCUACGAUAUAGUUACAAAUCCCUCGAUAUCAUCUUUAAUAGCAUUUGCAAAAUCCGUGCUAUCCGAAUAUGCUAUCAAUGCACACUUUUUUUGUAGUGACACGUAAUCAUGAGAAAAGACUCAAGGUAAAAUUAUUAAAUUAAUAAGAUGUUAGGGAACAAACAGUUAAACUAUAGCACAAAUAAAUUUUCAGUUAUUAGUGACCAUUGAUAAAAACAAAUUAGUAAAAUCAGAAGAGUAAAAUGAAAAUAGUGUUUGAUUUAUUAACAUAAUUCUAUAAUUUUCAUAUAUUGAAGAAAUAAAUUAAAAGUAUGAUUGAUGGAUGAUUUAAUGCAAUAAAGAACUUUUCUGAUUUUUUCAUUUAAUUUUGCUAAUUUUUUUUAUUUAAAUAAUGUAAAAUGGCACAUGUCAUUUUCUUGUGUUAUGAUGUGACACUCAUAUGGAGAGAGUUGGCCAACUUUUAUAUAUAUGUUUUUUUUUGUUAAGAAAACUUGUGUAGUUGUACAAACAAUAAUUGGAAUAUUCAUUGUCCUAGAUUCAGGUUAUCAGACCCCCUAAACAUUAAUGUCUAUGGAAUGCUUGUAUAGCUGUAUAUUCUCCAGUUUAAUAGUAUUGAUCAGCCUCGUAUUUAAACCUUAUACUAUCUAUACAUCAGCAUAAUAUAUACCUUAAACAAUUACAAAAUAUCUCAAUGCUUCUAUGGAUUUCAGCGAUAUAUAAGGGAGAGAUUAUUGGUUCAUGGAUUUAUAAAGAAUUGGAAAUUCAAACAAAAUUUAUUUUUUAUUCAUUCAUUGAUUUUAAAAUCUUAACUAAAAUCAUGUGUUAUUAGUUUUAUGAUUUAUAAAUAUUACUUAAAAUCAUAUGUUAAAAUCAUAUGUUUUAAAUGGAUUUGAAUGGAUUUGAAUGUAUUUGAAAGAAAAAAAAAUAUAAGGAUUCAAAUCCACAUAUUAUUUCAAAAUCCAUAUUUCUUGAUUUCAUAAUUAAUAAAGAUUUUCAAAUUCUAUAUGGAUUUAUAGAUCAAUAAACUAAUGACACCCCUUAGUUUUAAGAGUCCCGUUGAAUUCUAAGGUAAUCAAAUUUAAACUGUAGAAUAUGGUGUGAUAUGAUUGUAGUUUAAAAUUUUUGGUUCUUUUAAUUAAAAUAUAUACAUAUGUUUUUUCUUUUUCAAAUAAACUUACGUUCAAGUUAAACUGGAGAAUAAGGUAUAUAUUUAAUCAAAAUGUAUACAUAUGUUCAAAUUAUUUCAUUUUGGGUUUGGUUUCCACUUUUUAGGUACGUAUUUUUUUUUUUUUCGACUGAAUGAUUACCAUUAGAAUAAGCCAAGGAGAAUUACAAGGUAGAAUACGUUUUGAAACACAGGACCGACAAGAGUCGAAACUCAUUCGGAAACGAAGCCGGCGGAAGACAUAAAUAUCCCCGGAAACAAAGCCCAAAAAAGGGAAGCAAACUAUAAACAUAAGGCAAAAGAAGGUAAGCCCAAAAGGAACCUAAGAACUAAAUCUGAAACUCGACACCAUCAUAACCCACAAACAAUCCCAGGGAACCAGUUUACGUUGGAGCUGAACCAAGAAUCAUGAGCCUCAAGAAGAAACAACCAAACAGACAAUCUCCCACAAACCGGAGAACCCGAAGAAGAACGAAUCCGAGAACUCAACCAGCCACAGCCCGACAGGACAGAGAGCAGGAACAAUCCGAUAACAGAGCACAGCAACAAACACCAAUACGCCUCCUCCAUCCGGGGCAUGAGCUCGAGCGAAGCUAGGCACAAAGAGAAACUUUGAAAUAGGCCGGGGAUAAGUCAAAGAGGAUCACCAACGCUUACACGCGGACAAAGCGAACCAAUCAAUGCCACCUACAGACAAGAACCGGUCACGACCUCGCAAGAGAAGAACUAGAGAACGAAACCACUGCUGCGCCGUGAACCCAACCACAAAAACCGAAGACGGCUUCAGAGAAAAGCUAGUAGAUGCACCUGCAGCGAUGUACCAUCCGAGUGACAAACCCCAAACACGAACCGAGCCCACCAAAGAACCACACGCAAUCAAGAGGAAGCAACCGGAGCAGAAGAACUAGGAUCCCAAAACAGAGAAUUAAUGCGAGCAUAGCCCUACACCGGAACGCACAGCAAAGCCAUACAAUAAGCCGUGGAGAUAGAGCCAAAAACUAGCCAAACAUAACCUCUACCCAGGCCAAAAGCACCAACGAAACCUUCAACUCAAACAACUAGAUCUAUAGCAAACACAAUCAAGGAAAAGCGAAAGAUAAGAGGAAACAUGGGAGGCGAGAGGAAAAAACGGGCCACCGAGAACCAGAGCCGCUGUAGUUCAGAACCGAUGAAAGGAGAUAGACAAAGCCUCCGAUGCUCCAAACACAAUGAAGCACUUGGAAUGAGACAAGAAGAGGCACCACACACAGAGGCGAUAGCGAGAACGGCGGCUCCAUUAACACCAUCUACCUAAAGGCCUUUCGAUUCUGAUCUCCAUGAACCAACCUCCAUCAAAUCUGAGAAUCUACGACAACCCAAAUCGUCUCGCCAAAACCACCACGUUUCCACAAUCGAAGAGAGCAAAGACAAGAAACUAAAGAGGAGACCGACGCUGACGCUGUAGGAGCCGCCACGCGCCGGUCAGACCUGAGCCAAGAAGGAAAGGUUGAAGACGGCGAUUAGGUUUGACCACCCAAAAUGUUGUGACCAAGACUAUAUUAUAUCAGGGAGUUUUUCUUUGAUUUUUUUUUUUUUUUUUUUUUUUUUUUUUUUUUUUUUUUUUUUUAGGUACG
rnacentral:lncRNA from 1 species